AAGAACUUAGCUUGUGGUUGGUUCGGGGUUAAGGGGUGGGAUAACCCCUUAACCCUGAUUUUAUUCCCAAACAUGAUUUUAGCCGGGCGGGGUUAACUAACCUCACCCCAAAUGGGCUAACCCGGGAUAGCUCAUUUGAAGUGGGGUUAACUAACCCCAACUAACCCCACCUCACCCUACUACUCCAACCAAAUAAAACACUAUUUUACCCACUAUCAUUCUUAUCUCACCUACUCCAACCAAACACUAUUUUCUUUAAUCCUGAACUAACUCCAAUUCUCAACCAAACACAAAAAUACUCUAACCCCACAUUGACCCUGAACUUAACCAUAUUCCUGGAAUAACUAGUUUUUCCUUAACCUCGAACCAAAAGGUAGCUUAGUGAUCAAGCAAAGUCCAAGUGGAAGUAAGUCGGGUUUUGUUUUUGAACACACGUCAGUGACCGCGAUGCUAAUAGUGGUGGAGAGAGAGAGAGGGUGGGUUGUAAAAUAAUGUUUUGUUCACUCUCGUUUACAUAUGAAUAUAAUAAAGCACAAAUUGAAGAGUUCGAGAGUGCAACGGCGGAGAGGUGGAGGGUGGUGGGUGCCCUCUGGGCAGGGGCCAAUUCUUGGCUCAAUCAUAAAGGAGGAUUUUUUUUUUCAUUUUAAUCCUUAAAAAAUUUAUAAUUGGCCAAAUAACUUGGUAAAAAAUUAAGAAGUUUUAAUUUUUUUUCUUUUUCAAAAUGCCACUUCCUACUAAUAUAAUUCCAAUCACAUAUUAACAAUAUCAUUUAUUCUAACUUUUAUGAAACUUUUAUGAGUAUAAAUCGCAGUAGUAUAAUUUUUAUUUUAUUUUUAAAUUAUCAUAAAAUAUAUUAAUUCAUAGUUAUUGAAUCUAAUCGAAUGGCCAUUCUGUUACCUUUUUUACUUAAAUUAGUGUGUAUCAAAUCCUGCCUUUUAUAAGUAUACCCUAUCUCCUAAUAACUGUCGCCUACAUAAUAUCCAUAUUUUAUCUUAUCUAUUAACUUAUCUAAUAAUAAUUCUCUUUAUACUUCACACUUAUCUAUAUUAUAUACAAAACUAUAUAGAAAUUAAAAAUAUUCCCUAUCAAAGUUUAUGAUUAAUUGGUUAAAAAAUAUAUCAAAUAAAAACGAAUGAUUAUGACCAAUCUAUUAAAAAAUAGCAUUCUUAUCUAUCAAUAUAUCAAAUUCUAUGAAUGGUUAUGUGAGAUCCCUGGUGUUUGGCAGUUGAGGCUUGUCGACAGCUCUGGAGAGUGCUGGGACAAGUCUGAGUCGCGUUGGUGUGAAAUAAACGCAAAACGGACUCUGUGCGACGCGAGACCAGCAUUUAGCAAGAGAACCUGCCAAUAGCAGGUUUCUCUGCUUGCUGUACCGAUACAGCCAGCAGCGUGUACCGGUACACUGCACAGGCUGCGCGCAGACUGCUCUCGGGUUGGCUUCUAGUACCGGUACGUGUGCCCGUGUACCGGUACACCGGGGUAGGUGAGAGGGUGUUUUGGUCUUUUUCCACCUCGUUCGUGUCACCCUUUCCCUCCUUCUCUAUUUAGACGUGUAGAGCAGAGAGAGUAAGAGUUUUCUCUGGCUUCUUCUCCUCUCUCUCUCUAGCUUGGUUCGAUCGUGGAGGAGCUCGGGUGGAGUUCGAGUUUCGCCGACGGCGUGCCGCGGAGCCUUUCGGGCGUGUCUUCGUUGUUGUAGCCCUGCGAGAAGGCCGGGCGAGUGUGGAUUUUCGCUAUUCUCGACGUCACACCGGAGUUCGGAUAGAAGUUGAGGUGAGGUGUUCAUCAAAUUCCUUCAACCGUUGCAAGUCUUUACUACUUCAAGCUCAAGGAUGCUGUUUUUGUAGAAUUUUCACGUCGACCGUCGGUGUUGCGGCUCGUACGCGACGUAGGAGUGUUGGAUUGCGACGAAACUUGGUUCGUUGGAUUCAGGACUUCGAGAGAAAUCCACGAAGCCCAAGAUUGCUAAUUUUCGCGAAGGUUAGCUUGGUUGAAACUUUAUUUCUCUCUGCUACUGCUGUUUUGAGCAGAAUUAGUGUUUAUUGGGGGUUUCUAUGUCUAGAUCCUUGGAGCGUUGUUGUUGCUGGUUCGGUGUGUUGCAGCCGAGCUUGGCAGGGACUCCGGUGACCUUCUUCGCUGUCGGGGAUUAGCUUUUGAGGUGGGUUUUCAUCGGGUUUACUCCUAAGUAGAGAUCAGUAAAUAUGUAUAGUUUCCGAUUGUUUAUACUUCGUACUAGCUUAAAUUCAUUGAGUAGCAUAUUGGCUGAAAUCUAAAUUUGAAGUAUGUGUAGAAUCUAGUUAAACUAUACAUGUUGGACUUGGAAAUGAAAUUAGGAGAAAACCGGCGAUUUGGACCUGUCACCUGUUUACACCACCUGAUUUAGCUCUAGGAGCCGUUAUAAAUUUGUAUCGUCGCAGUAUUGGUGUGAUGGAUACCCCAGGUAGUUUAGAGUUCAGUUACGCUCAUACUAGGAUGCCUAGCGUAUUUUUACAGUAGCGUUCAGACUGUUCCGAACUAUUGGGUGCCGUCGGGGUUGACGGUGGACCCAUAUCGCCGUUUUGGCGUCAGGUUGUGCCGAGGGCACGUGACCUGUUGGUUGUUAGACCAGUUGGACCCUAUUACUUGACUUUGGCUUGUGAGAGCCUGAUUGAGCUCGACAGAGAUACGCUACAUACUCGAUUGGGUACCUCCCACGAGUGCCACUCCGGAGACGGGCGCUGUGCUUUCGCUUUGGUGUCGUUCAUUGCCAGUUGGACUUGCUCUCCACGGACUUGUUAGUGUGGAGGUAGCUGGAUAACCCCAACUGGGCGGGACGGGUGUAUUCAUAGUCCCUGGGACGGGUAUGUUUACAGUCCCUAAAGAGAUUGGGUUAGGAUUGACAUUUCUACAGUAGGUUAGUUUUGAGCAUGAUAGUGUAAUAACUCGUAGCUGUAGAUUUUAUUCCAGCAUUUAUUACUAUCUUCGCUCCCUUCUGUAGACUUAGUGGGUGGACCGAUGAUAUUGAGGGCGGCACCCACUGAGAACUACUUGUUUUACAGUAGUUCUCAUGGCCUAUUGUUACCCCGUUUUUGCAGAGUCAUCGUCUUCGGCUGCUGCCGCUGUUGCCGAUCUGGAUCGAGGCAGGGCGUCGCGAGUUAAAGCCCUACCAGAUGAGCCGAGCUAGAGGUGCCCCUGCAGCAGGUAGUUGUUUUGGUUGGAAUUCAUGUACAUACAGACGUUUAACUCGCCAGUGCGAGUAGUAUUGUAUCUGGGUUUUGGUGUAUGUAUAUGGAAAUCGAUUUGUUUUUGUUACUGGUUCUUCUAGCAGCUCUAUACUACUGUUUGUAGUAUUGCAUGUUUUACAGGUACAGCUAUCGCUUCGUAUACAGGAAAAAUUUUUUGUAUACGGCGGAUUUGUCGGCGUGCCCGGGGAACGAUAAUCCGGGGCAUAACAGGUUAUGAUUAAUUUGUUAAAAAAUAUUUCAAAUAAAAACAGACGAUUAUGAUCAAUCUAUUUAAAAAAUAAUAUUUCUAUCCAUAAAUUUUACAUUAAAAUUAAAAUUUGAAUUCAAAUGAUGAAUUGAGUUUAAUUUUGGAUAUCAAAUUUUGAAUGAAUAAUUAAACAAUUUUAAUUACAGUAGAUCAAAAUUAAAUUUUAACAAAUUUACAUUUAUAAUUUUUGGAUAUCAAAUUUGAAUUUAUAAUUAAAAUAUAUAAUUAUGGUGAAUCAAAAUUAAAUUUUAAAUUUCAAUGUAAAUCUGAAUUAAAUUUUGACGCUUUUAGUUUAAACAACAUACUUAAAUUUUAAAUUGAUCAAAAUUUAAAAAAAUAUAUAAAAAUAUUUAAUGUAUAUAUUAAAAAAAAUAUAGAAUAUUGUGGAUAUUUUUUAAUAAAAUAUAACAUAUAAAUUUAUAAAAUAUAAUUUUUAUUGUUAACUUUUGAAUAAAUGUGAUAUAAAAAUUUGUAUUGAUUUGAAAUAAAUUAAAAUAAUUUUUACGUGCAUUUGUACGUACACUCAGCUAGUUUAAUCUAAUAACCGUGUUUCAUCCAACUGAUUGUUAGGGCAUAAAAAUAAUCGAAAGAUGGUCAAUCAUUUACCGUUUUUAAUGAAAUUUAUAAGACAGUAAAUUAUUCAUCAUAUUUUUCUUUUCAAUAAGAAACGGCAAAUGAAUCAUUCACCACUUUUUAAAGGCGGUGAACGAUUCACUGUUUUUCUCAGUUUAGUUGGUCAAAUAAAAUUUUGAAGAGAUUAUUUCAUAAAUUAGAAAAUUUAUUGAUUAAAUAAUAUAUAUAAUUUUAUUUAUACAUGCUUAACUUUCAAUUAAUUUUUCUAUAUUAUUCCAUUCAAAAAACCUAAGAAUUUUGUUAAAUCUAACGGUAAUUCAAUUGGUGAUUUAAUUUCUUAUUUUUUAAAAUUGUAACAAUCAAUAACUAUUAGCAGACCGAGCUAUUAAUUUUUAUAAUUAAACAAAGUUAUUAAAUUUAGUGUAUUCUUUUACUUAGCUAAAUAAAAUCAUUCACCCAAAAUAAUUAGAAGCUGGAAAGGUACUACAUAAAAAAGAAAAAUUUAGAGUUGAAGGACAUAUUUCAAAAACGCUAAAAAUAAGAGCUUAUUAAUACAUUUUUACCUAAACCUUUCACGCUAAAUCCUAAAACUUAAAAAGCGGAUGUAGAUUUAGCAUUUCUCUAAAGAGCAAUGCAAUAAAUAAACGAUGGCCAAGCUCAGUUUAGGCACGGCACUGUCCCUACCAAGGAAGAGAGAGAUUUUCUUUUUAAUCAACAUAUCAAUAAUAUAUUAUUAUUUUAUUUUUUUUAAUUGAUUCUAAUAAAAAUUAAAUUAAUUUUUUUUUCCAAAAAAAAAAGACUAGAUUGAAUUUUUUAAAAAAAUAAAACUAGACGCGACAUUAAUUCUCUCUACCACAACUUCUUAGAGGCGUAGUACAUAAGAUCGAUGUACUUGUAUACUCAGUACAGACAACAAUUCUCCCAGUUAAAGUGGGGAACGGAACUUUCUAGUUGCAGUGGAAACCUCGAUGCUGCCGCAGCUCUGUUAAAACCAGGGGUGGAAACGGCCGAGCUCGAGAGAGCUUAUCUCGGCUCAAAUUCGAUUUAAAAUUUAUUUCAAGUCUAAAUUUAAGUUCAAAUUUGGAUUGAAAUUAAUUCGAGCCGAGCUCGAGCGAGCCUAAUUUCGAGUCGAGUGAGCUCGAGCCCUAAACAAGCUGCUUAAAAUUCUCAACAUCAUACAAUCAAUGGUUUAAUUUGUAUAGAAUAUUAUCUAUAAUUUGAUACAAAAAUAUGUCUAAUAGUUCAAAGUACAAAAUAAUUAUAUGAAAUAUAUAUAAUAUUAUAAUAUGGAGAAAAAUAAUUUAUGAGUUAAAUAUCUAAUCUUUUCAGCGUCACAUGUCUUUUCUUCCGCCUUCAAUCUUUAUAUUAUUCAUUUUUAUUUAUGCGGUCNCUAAUCUUUUCAGCCUCACAUGUCUUUUCUUCCGCCUUCAAUCUUUAUAUUAUUCAUUUUUAUUUAUGCGGUCAAAAAUAAAUAAAUUAUAUAGAUAAAUAUUGAAUUAAACUAUCCAAUCAUAUAAACUAAAAUUAAAAUUUUAUAUAAAUAAUAAUUUUUUACUUUAAAAAUAUUCUAUAUAUUUUCUCAAGCAUACAAUUAAUAGCAAGGUAGGCGACGGCGGGCAUAUACUGUUACUUGGUAAUUUGGAGGGCUUCCGGUUUUGCCACAGACAGAAAAAGAAAAAGAGAGAAACAUAUUGAAAAUUUAGAGUUCUGUGAAAGAAAGAAAGAAAGUAAAAAUAUAUAAAUUUAGUAAAAUUUUGAUCUUUUAUUUGUCUAUUGAGUUUGUUUUUAUGGGCCAACAACAUUGGCCUUCGAUAAUUAAUAUUCCUUUUUUUAUCAAUUCUGUAAGAGCUAGAUCUUUCUGAAUUAGCAUUACAUCCAGAUGCAUCUCUCCUCUUUGAAUCGCGGAUAUAGCAAUUUCCUUUGGAUUUAUCAGUCUAAGUAAGAGACAAUAUACCUUGAUAUUAUUGAUCAUUCUUUGGUUCAAGGAGUCAUCCCAUCUUAAUUGAAAAAGGAAAUAUUUUUUAAGGAAGAAAUCUAGUUCUGCUUCCUUGUUUUUCUUGGAUUGUUUUUUCUUUUUACCUUUUUUAAUGGUAAUGUCUGAUCUCGCGUAAUUCUCUUCAAUAUCUUUUUUUUUGUUUUCUUUUCGUAUAUCUGAUACAAAAUUUACUUGGUCCUGUUGUUCAUUUUUUUGAAGCCCCUUUGACAUCUCUUCAUCUGCAAAGAAUUCUCGACGUGAAAACACAGAGACAAAGGGCUGAUCCUUGAAUAGGAAAAAGAAUGGAUCCGCAGGGUCCCACUCAGAUUAUUCACUCGGCCUAUAUAUAAUUAAAAUAUUAUAUAUAUAUAUAUAUAUAUAUAUAUAUAUAUAUAGUGUAGAACUACUAUGCUAUCGAAAAUAUAGAGAUUUGAUGUUUCCGAAUUUUUGACUCUUUAAUUAAGAAUUGUAUGGUUGGGCUGAUUGCGAUCCCCGUAGGAUUAAAUAAUAACCCUAGGAUUGAGUGGUAUCUACAAGGUAAUAAUAGUAUUAAUCCGAAGAUAAGAAAUAAUUAAAAGGGUUGAUUUAAGAGUCAAAAAAUUAAAAGCACCUAGCUCUACUCUAUAUAUAUAUAUAUAUAUAUAUAUAUUCGAGCUUUUCGAGCUUUUCGAGCCUAAUUCGAACGAGCCGAGUAAUACUCAAGCUCGGCUUGAAAUGAAUUUCGAGCCUUUUUUUUUGUUCAAGCUCGGCUAAUUUAAUUUCGAGUCGAGCUCGAGCGAGCCAAAUAUCGAGUCGAACGCGAGCCGGCUCACUCAUUUACCAGCCCUAGGUAAAACCAACCAUUUGCUAUUGAAAGCUCUUCCUUUUGUCUCUCAUCACUCACUCUCCACUGCUACUUGGAUACUGCUGAACAAAUCAUUCAUUAAACUUUUCAAACUAAAACCACAAAGAAAUAUUAGGCAACAACAUUGAAAUUAAACCCAAAUAUAGAUUCUAAUUUAAAUCUAAUUCAAAUUCAAAGGCUACCCACUUGGCGAAAACUGGAGGGACCGAACUUUGUCGAUCAUUUGAAGCUGCGGGUAGUUGAAAGUGCCACUAGAGUGCAAAUUGAUUGGAUAACAAUUACUUCGCAGUUCGUUUUCUCCGUGCAGAUUGAACUUGUGGUCGAUCUGAAGGAAAAGGGAUGAUUAGAACGACGGAGCCAUAGAUAUAAUUGAAGCAAUUUUAAUACCUUUGCUCUUAUUCUUCGGUUCAGCUCUAGUUUGAAUGUCGCCGGGACUUGUUGGUCCGUUCCGUUUGAGCUCGCUUUGUCCACCAAUUCGUGCUCGCUCUGCUUCGAGCCUGAGCAACUCAGACUCAAAUCAAGAUCGCGCUCAAAGCGAUCAGCUGCUGCAAAUGCUUAAUAUGAACAAAUUAUAGUACGACAAACUUUGUAAGAGAAGAAAAAUAAGCUAAAACGUCCAAGGAAAUGAGUAGGCAUCAGGAACUCACGAGACAGGGGGAGAUCGUUUUCGUAGAUGGAAAGAUCGAAGUUGGUGAUCGCAUCGCGCCCAUUGCAGUUAAUUGCGGCUAUAUCAUAUGCCCUGAAAAUGAAAUGGCCAAAUCUGUAAAAUUUAGAGCAAAAUUGGAAGUGAUUGAUGGAGAAAUGAAGGUACCGAGCAGCUUCUACUUCAGUGUCAUAGAGGCCAAGAUACAUGUAUCUGCUCAAAACCAGCAUGUAGCCUAUAAGAAAACAUUCUCAUACAUUGAAAGAAACAGAUUAAAAACCCAAAACAAAAAAAAAAAAAAAAUGGUUGGAAAUAUUUUACUUUUUCUCCAAUAGUUGGCCAAGUCUAGCCUCCCAUUUUCCACAUUUGUGCAAGGAAACCCCGCGAAACUUCGAGCUUCCUCUCGACGAUCCGGUGCUCUGUCGCCGGAGUAGCUGAACAAACUCCUCCUUAGCGAGAUUGCUCAUCUACCACCAAUUACUUACUCUUGUUAAAUCAUACUUUUGCCCAUUAUAAGAACAAAUAAACUACUUCAUUCAGUAAGAGCUCUUUUAGUUCACCUUUUUCAGAUCCUCCUCAUAAUCUUCUGCAUUGAAAUUUAUGUCUGCAUCGACCCCACGAAACUUGAUUGCGGCGCGAUCAUACGCCCUAAAAUUUGAGAAAAAAGAAAAUGUAAUUACUCAGUUAGAAUCAGUGAAUAAAAGUAUUUAUGAUCCAUAUCCAUAACAGUGAGUGAGAAGACUAGUGAAGUUUGUUUAACUACCUUGCUGCAGCAUAUGCAGUGUCAAAUCCACCUGGGAGAAACCCAAAAACCCAAUGCUCAAAAACAUCAUCAUCACACAAGACACUUGUAAAUUCAAGUAAUGUAAUGUAACUCAUUAAAUACAACAAAGUGUGACAUUUACAGCAUACCCAAAUAGACUUGCUUUCCGCAAUCCCUGCAUUGAAUAGAAGACUGAGAAUUAUUAGCACGGCACUCUAACCAACCGAGCUAUGAGAGGAAAGUAUGUACGUUUGGUAUAAUAUGAUGCGGGAUUACCAUAUAUGCGAUUCCCACCGGCCAGUUCUGCGAUAAAAGGUGACGCCGCGGUAUUGGGAGCUCCGCGACCGGGGUCCCCGCCGGCUCUUCUUCGCGGGCUGUGGCGGCUCCGCCAUCCGGUGGUGGUGAUGCGUCAUUGCCGACGCAUCCCGAGCUCUCCUCUCCUUCGACGCGGCCAUCGGAAAGAAAUCGCGGGUAACUAGAGCAGCCGAGGGGCUGCUUCUGUCGACGUGGCCGCUGCGGCAGCGGCCGGAGAUUGAGAAGCCGAAGAUCUUAUCGUCCUUCUCUUCUCCUUGUGCUCCCCCCUCUAUGGCCAUUGCCAUUCCGUUUAGGUCCCACAUCUCUCUCUUGCUCACUGCAGUGGCUUCCUCUUUCUCCAUCCCAGGAACGAGCAAGCGCUUUUUGGUGCUUCCUAUAUUGCUAAAAAGGAACAGUACUCCUUUUAUUAGUCCUUUAUCUCCUUCUUUCGCUUGUAAAAUCUACUCAUACAUGCCAUGCGUUUCUUUCUAAGUUUGCCAAACUUGAUCUAAGCAAAGAUCUAAAAGGAGGGAGCUCUCACUGCCUUUUUGUACGUAUCCUUUGAGGAGAAUGGCAAAAAUCCAAUCUCAACGACCUCUUUUGGGUCUCUCUCUCUAUAUGUUAUUAGUAUGAAACACACACACACACACACACACACACACACACACACAAUUAAUCAUUUGGGUGAGGCUGUAGCACCCAUAGCACUUUUCUCUGUUGCUAAAAGAAGCCUCUACCAAGCUUCCUAAGUUGGUGGGGGUAAUUGGAUUAUUGGAGGGGGUGGGAAUAUAGAGGGAGUAUCCUAUUUGCUAUCCUUUUGCUUUUUCUCCCUCUUCCCACGUUAAUCAAAUCGAAAAGCAAGAAAAAUGUGUUCCCUCACUACUAAAGCAAUAUCUUGGAACAGUACUCUACUACAGGAAAUAGAUUGAUCACUAUUCUCUAACCCCUACAACCUAUUAAUAAGGACAAACCCAUGCAGCAGCACCUCAUCUAUUAAUCUAUUAACCUUUAACCUAUCUAUUAUCUAUUAAAUAAUAUGAAUCCGUAAUACUUUUUUACCACGUGGCACCCCCUCCUUCACCAUCUGCUCCUUUUCUCUCCUUUUUUUAUUGUUGGUAACUGUUACCUCCAAUAAAUAAAUAAAUUUAUUCUACCCUUGCCGUUACAUCCCUCCACUACUUGGAGCAUUCAUUUUCUUUCAAUUUAAGCGUUUCUAACUUUGCAUUUUGGCAUAGUGCUGUGGUGUUAAAAAGCUUUGAUUACGGAGCUACUGUGGAUAGCACAAAUUUGCGGUUGCGAAACCCACGGCCGCGGUCAACGUGGGGAAGGGAGUGGGCCCCCGCCCCUACGCGGGCUUCUUUUCGUACCACUACGCCGCCUCCGAGACGCAGCUCCGCGACGACCCCAGCGUGGCGCUCUUCUUCCUGGAGAAGGACCUCCGCCCGGGGAAGAAGAUGACGCUCCACUUCCCGGAAGUUGCUUCUGGCCCCGCUUUCCUCCCCCGGAAAGAAGCCGACGCGAUCCCGCUCUCCGUCGAGAAGCUUCCGGAAGUCCUCGGCAGGUUCGGGAUCCAGCUAGACUCCGUCGAGGCCCGGUGGAUGCGGAAGACGGCCCGAGAGUGCCAGGAGCCGGCGGUCGGCGGGGAGAAGAAGUUCUGCGCCACGUCGCUCGAGUCCAUGGUCGACUUCAGCACGUUGAGCUUCGGGACGCGCGACAUGCGGGCGGUGUCCACCACCGUCGCUAAGAAGGUUUUUCUCAAAAAAAUCUUAAACUAUAAGAAAACAAUAUUUUUCUGUAAAGUGAAAUAUAGAUUUGAAUUAAAUAGAUAAAAUCACAAGAAAAGUACCGGAUCUUUCUAAAUUUUGGUCUGACUAUACAUAGUCAUUUAAUACUUAAAAAGCUCAUGCUUUUUCAUUUUUCUUAAAAUGGUAAAGAUGAAUUUAGAAAUUAUUUAAAUUUUUUAUAUACUUGUUAAUGAUUAAAAUUAGUAAAUUUGGAUUCAGUUGGACCAUUGCACUCAGCUUAAUUUCAGGAGUACAAGUAGCAAUUUCUCAUUGAAAUAUAUUAAAAAUUAAUUUAUGUGCACUUUCUUUUAUUUUAUUUAAAUUAUAGAUGAUUACAUGUAGUUAGCAAUUCUAAAUUCAUAGGAAUUUGACUGUUUUCUCAAAAUUAAAUUAGACAGAAAAGAUUCAGCUGGUCAGACAGUCCAAGCUUAGAUACAUACAAAACAUCUGGUUAACAAUGUUUAAAUAUUUUAUAUUUGAUGGCAGGGUGUGCCGAAGUAGGAGUACACUAUUGUGCAGUCCGGCAUCUAUAAACUGGCAGGGGACGAGCUGGUGGCAUGCCACGUGGAGACGUAUGCGUACGCGGUCUUCUAUUGCUACCUGACGGGAUCAACGAGGGCGUACAUGGUGAAGAUGGUCGGGAAAGACGGGGCGGCAGUUGACGCCGCAGCGGUUUGCCACGCCGACACGGCAGCGUGGAACCCGAAACACCUGGCGUUCCAGGUGCUCAAGGUGAAGCCCGGGACCGUGCCCAUUUGCCACUUCCUCCCGCAAGACCAUGUUGUGUGGACCCGCCGCACUAAGGAGGAUGUGUGUACAGGAUUGUGGAUUGAGAGUGAGAAAGUAAGCAGCAAACGGCUCGCUUAUGCUGUUGCGUACCUAACCGCGGUGAGAAGCUAGGCUAACCAGACCCUAAAGUGAUUGAUUUUUUUUAUGCAGCAGGAGCAGAUAGAUAGCUUCAUUCCAAUUGAGAUGGGUAUAGUGAGCAAGCAGCCGACAAAUUACUUCUGCAAGACUCUGACGGCAAGCGAUACGAGUACUCACGCGGGAUUCUCUGUUCCCCGUCGUGUUGCUGAGAAGGUGUUUCCUCCCUUGGUAUGUUAGGAUUCAGCAAAUUACAUGAAUUUUUUUGUCAAGAUUUAUUGGUUGUGGAGUAUUUAUUAUAAGCUUAUGAAGAAAUUGACCCUGGUGUUGGUUGUAGGAUUUCACUCAGCAGCCACCAGCGCAGGAGCUCAUUGCGCGUGAUCUUCAUGAUGUUGAAUGGAAGUUCAAGCACAUCUUUCGAGAUAAGGAGAAGGUAGGGAAAUAGAUCCGAGCCGUGGUUGAGGUAUUGGAAAGAAUGAAUGUUGAUGCACAUAAGGGAUUAGUGUAACAUCUUCAGGAGUCAGUGCUUGUAUAGCACAUAGAUAAAUUGGUUAUAGAUGUUAAGAGUAGUGCUUACUUAGUUUGAUGCCCAUAGAUGUUAGAUAAGAUGGAUACAAACGCCAAAUUAUGUAUUCAGGCAUGUAGCAUUUUUAUGGUCGGAAAGAAUUGAUUCAAUGUCUCAUGAUAUAGGUUGGGUUCGAAGGUAAUUAGAUAAGGCAUUUCUUUGAUUCAAUACAGUGAAAAAAGUUGAUGUUCUUGAAUAUAUGAGAGGCCCAAGGAAUUGACAAUAAUAUAACAAUAGAGUUGUAAGUAAGCAAGAUUCUCUAUUAAAGAAAUUUUGUUGAAUGAGGACUCUUCUUGAAUGGUUUAACAGAAUAUAUUCUGUGGCAUGAACAGUUAUAAGAGAGAUGUUGUUUCUCACCUUUGAUCGGGAUUAACUGCCAAAACUAUCUUCUUCUUUGAACCAUAGAAUGAGUAAUUUGGAUCAUCAAUUUGAGCAACCCGCCGACCUUAAUGUGAAUUCUGGGACAGAAUGCAUUGUUUAUGCCCUUAUCAAAUGUAUUUUUACAUGUACAUAUGAACGUGUGCAUGCACACAUGUAAAUUGUUGUUUGGCGUUCCAACAUCCCUUUUCUUUUCAAAAUAGUAAAACUUCUAGCAGUGGUUGUGACGCACUGGACCUCUGCAAAGUGUGAGGUUCGAGUGUUUGGACAGUGUCCCGAGUUUUUCCAGACUUUCUGGUGGGUCGUUGACAGUGUUCCGACCUAUGGCUCGCAUCCCGAGAAUCGUAGUAUUUUAUGUAGCGCUAAGGUCACUAAAGAGUUGGACUUAGGCUACCCUCGGAUUGCAUUCUGCACAAGGUGUACCGGUACACUCUUGAUGGCUGUACCGGUACACACUUUGUACCGGUACACUCUUGAUGGUUGUACCGGUACACUUGUGGCAAAUUACGAACCCGAGCCUCGGGUUUGCAUUUUCGUAGGAUGUGUACCGGUACACUUUCCCGUGUACCGGUACACUUUGGCAGAAUCUGAACAGUUUGUUCUGCAGGGGGUUUUUCGCAAUUGUGGGCUUCUUAUAACAGCACCCACGCCCCUAGGGCUCUCCCCUGGGCUGAGAAGAGUGGAGAACCAGGUAGGGCACCUCUCCCCUUCACCCCCUUUGGAUUUGAUCUCUUUUUAGCUUGGGAUUUAAGUGUUGAUCCUUCUCUUUUCCCUUUUCUUUGCUUUUCCACCAUUGUGAAGCUUGGAGCUUGGUCUUGGUGGAUUGUUGAGGGAAGAUCUUGGGAUUUCAAGAGUUAGAGCUUAGAUUGAAGCUUCUAAGAGGUAAUCCACUUAUUCUCUCCCUUUAGAUUGGAUUUUUAUUGAUGGAUUCAAGAUGAAACCCUAGUUUUGAGACUUAGGGCUUGUUUUUGGGUAUUUUGAACCUAGGGCUUUUGGGGCCAAAUUAGUUGGUUUAGAACCUUCCUUGGGCUUGGAUUGGAAGGAUUCUAGCUCUCUUUUGGAGCUUAGGAGAAGAUUUCUACUCUUGAGGUAAGUUUUGGCCCUUUUUGCUUCUAGGUUAAUGUUUGAUAUUAUAUGAUGGUCGUAAUGCCCUCGUAUCUCUUCGCUGAUUACUUUUAGGGUAUUUUGAGACUCGGGGACAACUUUGUUCUGCGAAACGAGGCUCUACGCGACGGUUCGGUGGGUUUGACCUAGCCACACAAUGAGAAAUUCUCAUUUGUGCUUAAUUAAGUAUCGUUAAAUGAAAAAGCAUGCAUAUUCUUGUUAUAUGUAUUUAUUGUGAAUUUUAGAAUGCUCAAAAGGCCUAUGUUGUAUAUAAUGAAAUUUUGGACCUCUAUGGAGUAGAGAGUAACUUGGUAGGUCUAUGGUUGCAUUUAGCGUUCAAUUUGAGACUUGAUUUCAAGCUUCUAUAGUGUAAAUGAGUUUUGAUUCAUGCAUUUAAACUUAAGUUUAUUUGAGACAUGAAAGAUGACAAAAUUGCCAUAUAGAGGUAUUGAGCUAGAAUGUAUGUGAACUAGAGAGCUAAUGUCAUCAAGCGGCAUUGAGCUCGGGACAUGUGUGAACCUAGUGGAUAGGGCCAUUGAGGAAUGUAAAACAUGCUUAAUUAUUAAAUGUCUAAGUGUUAUAAAGGGGCACUAGACCUAGAGAAGGUUGGGACUUCACUUGUGACUUAGAACUAGAUCUUCGAGAUGCUAGUGACUAUACCAUGUUAGAGACAUGAGGGUUGGAUACUUGAGCCAUCGACUACGCUUGUUUGCCAUUUGUGCUCAUUCGCACAUGCUUGUGAGGAUCGCUCCCUACAAGCCGGCACUCCGGAGUUAGCCUACGCGACCUAUGUUCGCUGGUGCGAUAUUGAGGAGCCUACGGGGUCGAGUGGGACAGACACAUUCCAAGACUAGGGAUGUUGGGCUACCACAGGUAUUUAGGCGGCACAAGCUGGACUACCUUGGGUAGGUCCUUAAAUUGGAAAUGAAAAUCGACACGGUGUUGAAUAUGAACAAUCACUACUAGAUAGGAUUAGUAGUUGGAUUACUUGGACACGCUCAUGAUAUAGCAUUGGUACAUUUAGUAUACUUGCCGGUUUCAUUAUUGCAUCGUAGUAUACUCGGUUGUUUGGAUAGAGUUUACCCUUAUGCAUUGACAUAUUGCAUCGUGAAGUUUACUUGUUUAUUAUGUUGAGACAUAUUAGUAUGCAUCGGAUAUAUUACCUUACGAUAGCGUAGAUGUACAUCACCAUGACAUCAUGCUUAUUGGAGACAUAGUAGUAUAGCAUUUCAUUCAUGCUUUCUUUCAGCAGUUUUCGUGUUCGCUAUUUAUUGCAUAUUACUAUAUGUCGUUACUUACCCUUUUCUUUUGGGGCCUAGUGGUGCUUUGAGCUGAGGUCAGUAAUUGCCCACUGGAAACUAUAAAUUAUAGUUCUCACGCCCUCUUUUUCUCGAUGUUUUUCAGAGCCUUCCACGCAGGGUGAGGCCAGGGAUCGCGGGAAGGGAGUUGCUUCGAGCGUAGCUUCUUCGAGGACGAGUUGCUAGGUGUCUACCUCUCGAGUUCUUAUUUUAUUUGCGAGAAGUUGAGGGUCUUACCAUGUAUUAGAGACCACCAUUUUUUACUGGUGACAGAUAUUGUAUUACUUAUGAUUUCUCUUAUUAUCUAGCUUUACUUCUUUGCCUGGUGUAGAUGUUAGAACUUUAUUCGCUCUGAUAUCAUUAGUUGCUAGUUAUUUCACUUCUUCUAUUGUUCUAUUACUUGCUUUUACUUCCGCUUUUAUUGUAACGCCUAUAUGUGUAGACACAUGCGGUCUGGGCACGCUACCGGGAGGGCUCCGCCGUCCCGGGGCGUGACAGUGUAAAGUUGGGUAAUGGAGUAAACUGUUGCAUCCAGUUCUCCAAUGUUAUAUGAUUCUUCAUAAACAACAUACCCCAUGUAUCCAUCAUUGUUCCCCCUGAGGCUCAAGCGUCCUUGGCAGCCUGGAGCCAUAUUCUCAAGGUUUGUUUAUUGUCUAUUGGCCGGUAAUUAUCGAUUCCACUGUCUUUCUUAAUUUUUCAGGCUAAGUACAGUUUGUUCUUAUUAAGCUGUACUAUGCAUGCAUUGUGAAACUCUUUAUCGAAACCUACAAUUUUAUCAAGUUGAGUUCUUUACCAACAGAAAAUUAAUUUUCGGUAUUAUUUAUUCUUUUUUUUAACUAUAUUUCAUACUUUCAUGUCUUUUUCUUUUAGAGAAUAAAGAACUCGAGAGCAAUUCUCCAGAUGUUUCUAAGAUGGGUAGUGGAGAACGAGGCAUUCAGCCUUUUAAUUUCUGCCUUUUGGUGUGAACCCUCGGUUCAACAUAGUCAGAACCAUCACUGCGGAGAAUGAGCUUAAUCAAAUGCUAUGCUGUUACUCCAUUUUAAAUAUUAAAUGCCACUUUCAAUAAAUGAUCCUCCAAUAUAAUUGAUAGCCACUGCAAGCAAUGAAUGCUUCUAGAUAUGGUAGACAUAAAUUGAAAUAUGGUCUUCUCAUAUUUUGGUGAUGCUUUUACUGUCUACAAUUAGUUAGUAUUUUGGGUUUCUUUUUAAGACUUCUAAAAUUAAGUUUUUAUUAUUACUGUAGUAUGAUAGUUUGUUUAUUAAUUUACUUCUUUGUUAUGUGAAAUAACAUAUAUUCUACGAUUGUUCUAUUUUUGUUCUAUUGCUUCUGCUAAUUUAUAACAAUAAAUUUGUGACUUUUUUAUUUCCAGCAUACCUAGAUUUGAAAUGUGUAGCUGCUGUAGUAUUAAGUUUAAUCUUUAAGUAGCCUGGUUAUUUCAUUGUUAUUAAUUUAGGCAUCUAUAUAUUAGUUCAAAAUAGAUUUACAAUAAUUAUAAAUUAAUUCAAAUUCCCUUAGUUAGAGUCUUUUCUUAUUUUUACAUCAGAUUUGUUUCAGCAAAAUUUAUUAUUUAGUAGGGACAACAAUUAAAUUAAAGUCUUUUCUUAUUUUUUUGCAGUAAAGUCUUUCUAAGGAGAAAAAAAAAAACUAUAAUUUUACUUCAACAAUAGCUACUCGCUGCAACGUGCGAGUACCUACACUAGUAUAUAUGAUUCUUCAAUUUUUUUGCCACGUGGCAGUUUAUUCUUAAUCCUCAUAAAAAUCUAAUUUAAACCAUCUAAUAUAUUUUUAUUUAAGUCUUUAAACUAAGAAAGAAAAAUUUGCACACCAAGAAGUUCUUCUAAUUCACUCUCAUUAAUUAUUAUAAUUCUAACGUGCAAUAACCCACUACUAUGAAGCACAUUACAGUCUUUAAAAUCCAAUUUAAGCCGCCUAAUAUAUUUUUAUUUAAACCUUUAAAUUAAAAAUAAAAGAUUUGCAUAUCAAGAAGUUCUUCUGAUCCACUCUUAUUGAUGAUUAUAAUUCUAACGUGUAACACCCACUACCAAGAAGCACUCUACCCUCAUUAAAAUCCAAUUUAAGCCAUAUAAUAUAUUUUUAUUUAAGCCUUUAAACUAAAAAUGAAAGAUUUGCAUACCAAAAAACUCUUCUAAUUCACUCUUAUUAACCAUUAUAAUUCAAACGUACAACACCCACUACCAUGAAGCAUUAAAAUUCAAACUAUAACUUAAUCACUAAUUACAUACAUUUCAAUGGCCUUUUAGAUUCUUAUUACAUAAUUAAUUAAUUAAUUAACUACGUUAACCAUCAAAAUUAUAUAUAUAUAUAUCUAAUCUAACCAUAAGAAUCAUUAUAGUUCUAACAUGCAAUACCCACUACCACGAGACAUUAAAAGCCGAGAUAUAACUAAACCACAAUUUAUAUACGUUUUUGCGGCCCUUUAGAUUCUCAUUACAUGACUAAUUGAUUAAUUGAUGAAUUAACUACGUUAAUCAUCAAAACUAUAUAUCUAAUCUAAUAUAAUAAUUAUAUUGCUGAUCUCGCCAUUGACACGUGCGGUAUGAGUCGGAUUACACAGCGACAGAGGAAGAGGUGGACAAAGCUGAGGUGCUAGCGUGGGUGGCGGAGGAUGACGAUCUUGGUGGCGGCGGCAGAGGCGGCGGCUCCGUCGAUCGACGCGAUUGUGAGGAUGAGGAGAAGGCUUAAAAGCUUUCAGAUAUACGUCAUUUUAUAUCAUAUUAUAAGAUUACUAAUUGCAUAGAUUUUCUAGAUAUUAUUCAUUAAAGGUAACUUUUUUUCUUCAUUUUCUAUACUUUAUUUCAAAACUAUAUCAAAAUAUCUACAAAGAAUCAAGCUAAUUUUUAAAAGGGAAAACUUCAAAAACCCCCCUGUGGUUUCGUGCAUUCUCACUUUGCUACCCUGUGGUUUAAAACGUAUCAAUUUACUCCCCUGUGGUUUCAUUUUUAUCUUUUCGGAAGCUUUUUCGUUAAUAUUUCGUUAAAUUAUAUACAAAAAACUUCAGAUAACCAUCUAUAUUUAUCGAAUAGUCACUUUAGUAUCCUUUAAUUUUAACUUUGUCACUGAUUUUAAAAAAAAAUAAUAAUAAAAUUGAUAACAAAAAGAUAAAAACGAAACCACAGGGGGGCAAAUUGAUACGUUUUAAACCACAGGGUAACAAAGUGAGAAUGCACGAAACCACAGGGGGGAUUUUUGAAGUUUUUCCUUUUUAAAAAACAUGAAAUGAUCAAUACCUUUGCUUUUAAAUAAAUCAGAUGCGUUUUAAGAUCCAUAUUUUAUCAACUCGUAGGAAGAAAUUUUAGAUAAUAUUUAAAUAAGAUAAACUGAAUUAUUUUAAGAGUAAAAAAUGCUAUACUCAUGAACACUUCUGAGAAUUAUUCUUAUCUACUCAAUAGGUAUUAGUUGGAAUUUAUUUUUAGGUAUUUAGUGAAAAUUAGAGUAUCACAAAGUGGAUGAAUUAAAUAAAAUAAAAAUAUCUUGACUAUUUGCAAUGCUCUCUCCUCGCGGCAACGCGCGAGUUUCUACACUAGUUCUCUCUUAUUAGGCUCCCUCUAAUGUGGAAAUUAAGACCGAAAGUUUUUAGGUUGAAACAGACCUUCAAGAAUCAGUAUGAAUCAUUAGGUUUACCAAACUAUCUCAAUAAAAAAUCAAUAAGGAGCUUCUCAACAAAAUCACACUUAUUUAUAUAGAUAGUGUAACUCAGCUGUAAAAUUUUAGUUGGAUUUUUAAUGAUUUAAAACUUUACGGACUUUCUGGGUAGUCCAAUAUUUCAUGGGUCUUGUUAUAAGGAUUAGUCCCAUAUUAAAAACUAAAACUAUGUUGUUGCCAUUUAUAUAUGUUGGCUUAAAUGGGCCAGCAUCCUGUCCUGUGGCGGAAGGUCAUGUGGGCCGAGUUAUGUUCGAAAUGGCGUGAGGCUAGGAUUGGGCCGAGUCAUGUUCGAAGUGGCAUGAGGUCAGGUGGGCCGAGUCACAAUCGAGACCCGUGGGCGCUGUUUCUGUACGCUUUAAGUGAAUUGGUUGCGUAUUUCUAUCAGCUCGAGCUAUUGGGAUUAAUGGUUAGCGCCAACGAUCCGAUAAGUGGUAUUAGAGCCAGAGGUCACAGGUUCGAUUCCUGUAUGCUGCAAAUAUGUGCAGGUGCUGGGGGAUUGGCUAUUUUAUUUUAUUUUCAUUUUAUUGGAAGCCUCAAUCCAUAUCCCAUAAAAUAUGAGUACGUAGGCUUACUUUUGGAUAUUUUAGGGGAGGUCGUAAGAGUUCAACCUGAACCUGAGUUUACCUAAGAGCUAAACCUUAAUCUCUAUAAAAUAUGAGUACGUAGGCUUACUUUUGGAUAUUUUAGGGGAGGUCGUAAGAGUUCAACCUGAACCUGAGUUUACCUAAGAGCUAAACCUUAAUCUCUUCUUGCCAUUGAUCUUUUGCGCUGAGUUUCACGAAGCUUUCUAAUAUUUCGUUAGAUCCCCUAAAGCUUGUUGUAUUUAUUUUGCGCCACCUUGAAAGCGUGCCGACAGAGUGGAAUGUGAUCGUUGUAUUGCUGGAAGUGAUUGCCAGGAAGCCUUGCACGUGGAGGGGCUAUCUUGCUUCUAGAAGAGUACCCUUCACGUCUUGAUCCAUAGGUCUUUUCUAAUCAUUUUCUCUACAGCAUUUACUACUUAAUUUCUACUCCAUAUAUAUUUUCGAAAAAUCUAAUUCAAUUUUCAAAUUAUCUUAAAAUUGAAAAGUUUAAUAAAAAAACUAGAAAAAUUUUUCGACAUUAGCUUCUAUAUCUGCUUUUGGUAGCAACAAUCCCUACAAAAAAAAUUUGACCGAAAAAAAAACUCUAAUCUUUUUCUCACUUCGGUGCAUCUUAUGCUGCCAAAAAAAAAAAAAAAAAAAAAAAAGAAAAAAAAAAAAAGAUAUAUUAGUGUGACGCUUCUUCUUAUAUUACUACUUGGACGGUACUUCGCUAAAUAAUGCAAUACACUACAACAGGCCAAAUAAAUUCCAAGCAUUUCAGUGUCAUAUUAGGAGUUAUUCCUAACUGUUACCUGUUAAAAUUUAGGGUUAAUUUCAUACAGGUCCCUGCAAAUAUGAUGAAGAUAUAUCCCUGCAAAGUUCAAUUUUCAUAAGUUAUUCCUAUAAAAGUCCUAAUGUAUUCAGAUAUGUUCCUGCCGUUAAUAUCCGUUAGAAAAAUUUAAUUAACCACAGUUAAAAUACUUAACCAUGGUCAGUUAAUAAGGUAAAAUGAUAUUUUUACCCUUCUUUCUCUUCCCCUCCUCUUCUUCUUCCUCUUCUUCUUCUUCCUCUUCCUCUUCCUCUUCCUCUCCUCCUUAUUCUUCCUCUUCCUCUUCUUCUUCCUUUCCUCCUCCUUCCUUUUCUUCUUCUUAUCCUCAUUUUCCUCCUCAUUUUCUUCUCCUUCUUCUUCUCCUUCUUCUUCUUCUUCUUCUUCUUCGUCGUCGAUGAUCCGAUCGUCGUCGCCGUCGUGGUGCCCGCAUGGGCUAUCGUCACGGGCGCCUUCGCCGGCAUCGGCCGCGCCUUCGCCUUCCGCCUCUUCCUCGUCCUCGUUGGCCGCAACCCCAACAAGCUCCGCAAGGUAGCCGUCGUCGCCAUCCGCCGUCCGCCGUCUGCUCCCACAACCUGAAGAGGAAGAGAAAGAGGGCAAGGGCAAAAUUAUCAUUUCACAACUCCACUGUUAAAAAAUUAACAGUUUUUUAACAGAUCCUAACCAGAGGGACAUAUCUUAAUAUAUUAGGACUUUUGCAGGGAUAACUUCUGAAAGUUGAACUUUGCAGGGAUAUAUCUGCUAUUCAUCAUGUUUGCAGGGACCUGUAUGAAAUUAAUCCUAAAAUUUAUUACAAACACUUUCUAACUGCUUUAUACAAAAUCAAGUUUUUGAGUAACGUAAUAUAAGAUUAGAGUUUGGCUGGUAUGCUUAUGGAAGAACGGGAGCCUCCGUGCUUCCAAGUUAUUUUCGAUAUUUGGACUUUUGAAUCGACGAUCGGCUCCGUUAGAGUUGAUCUAGAGUAUUUGAAGUACCUAGAAAUAAAUUUUGUGAUUUUUCAAUAUCAUUUGCCUUGUGAUCGAUGGGGCUCAAAAUCAAUAAUUUUAAUGGUCGUGGUGAGCCAGUUGCAAGUUUAACGGUGUAGAAAUAUCAAAAUCACGUGAAAUUUUGUUAGAAAAUUCUUUGUACUAUAUAAAAUAAGAUCAAUAUCUUUGAUCUAAAUUUUUAAUGCCAUAUCAUCACAUUUUGUGAGAUUUUUAUUUUCAGCCGUUGAUUUUAAGCCCCUUCGAUCACUAGGCAAAUGAUAUCGAAAAAUCACAAAAUUUAUUUACUAGGUACUUCAAAUACUCUAGAUCAAGUCUAAUGGAGCCGAUCGUCGAUUCGAAAGUCCCAACAUCGAAAACAACUUGGAAGCACGGAGGCCUCCGUGCUUCCAUAAGCAUACUAGCCGCACUCUAUAAGAUUAAGAUAUUGUCCUAGUCCCCUCAGUUUUAUAAGGUUAUGAAUUUAAUUCCGCACAUCUAUGAUAUAAUAUGUUUAUAUAUUUUCCAUUUUCUGUAAUCUGCAUUUAUGCAUACAAGCAGAAGUGCUAAAUAUAUUCCUAUAUCAUUUUCUUUCAAUUUAUAUUCUUACAUAUUGCCUUUAUAAUUGUCUCUUUAUCAUUUAAAUCUCAAUGUUAUUCAUCCUUAAUUUGGAUUUGAUCUCUAUUAACUCCAUCUCUAUUUAAUUCUCUGAGAGGAGAUAAAUAAACUAUUAAUAAAACCCAAUCCCCAUAUCAUGUGGGAUUACCAACUAGUACUAUCAUAAAAGAUGUUGCUACCACUAAUUCAUAAUAUGAAUUUUGUUAUAGCACAAUGCAACACAAAUUUAGAACAAAUUAGUUUUAAGUUCCACCACAGUUGUAGCAUUACUUUUAUCUUUUGAGGUAUGGGUAAAUUACACUUUUGGUCCUCAAACUAUGAUUCUUGUGAAACAAUCGUUGUAAAAUUCUAGAGCCCAUACGUGAACUUAAAUUAAAUGGAAGAAAAUUAAUUAUGCUAGAAUUCUGGCAUGAUUCGAACUCAGAAUCUCCUGUUUUGAUAUCAUGUGAAACAACCAUUGUAAUAGCGCUAGUAGAGAAAAGUAUUUUUAUAAUUUUAUACUUAACAAUUCACAUUAUAUUUUAGUCAUCAAAAUUUAAUUUGUAGCAAUUUCUGACUCGGCCUUUUAAAUUAUUACAACUAAGUCCUGCAACCCAACUUAUUUGACUAAAUACUUACGUGAUACUAACAUAAAUAUAAUAUGACAUAUUAUAAUUGAUAAUGCGACAAUAAUUAAGAUGUCAUAUUAUUUCAUAUCAUCAAUACGUUAAUAUUUAGUAAGCCAAAUUGGGUUGUAGAACUUGAUUGCAAUAAUUUGAAAAGUUCGAAUUUGAAAUUAUUAUAAAUUAAAUUUUAAAGACUAAAAAUGUAAUUUUUCCUAAAUGUAGUCCCUGAAAUUGCGACAAGUUUUUCUUAUGUCCCUAUUAUUUUAUUUAGCAAUAAAAAGAAUGGAUGUUCCUCUAGUAUCCCCAAAUGGCAACUUGAUCCUUAAUCCUGGAACUUUAGUCCUCAACCAUUGAAAAGAUUUCAAACAGUUUAUUUAAAAUGACAUUUUAAUCACGUUUCAUAGUAACCAAAAUAUGCGAAUUUUUACAAUAGAAUGGCAAAUUCUAAAAAAUUAGGUCUUUUUUGACGUUCAAAAAUUAAAGUAAUAUGCUUAGUUUAAAAAGUAUAGGGACCAAGUCACAAUGUUCGGAUAGUACAGAUACUUUCUAUGCAAUUUACCGUUUAUUAUUAUAUAACCCAGAUUAUUUUCUCAAUUUAUUUAGGUAACAUUAAUUUCCCAACGGGUUUACUGGUUUUAUUAGCCAUUUAAUUAACCCCGAUCUAAUAGUCAAAAUUUGUACGCAUAACUCCUAACAAAUAAAAAAGUACAGAUGUUGGAAUUAAAGUGCAAUAUAUAUAUUACUAAUAUAUAAAAAGGAUCUUAAUUAGUGAUCUAUGUUAGAAUGAUAGAAUACAAAAUUCCCCAUUUGUACGUAUGUUAACAUAUUCAUCAGAUGCAUAAUUAAGUAUCAAUUAUGCAUAUAAAUAUAUAUAUAAUGCAACAAUCUCUAUCUUUAGAAAGUACACUACAACUUUUUAGGGUGCAUGUAAUAUUCUUUCCUAUGAGAUGCUGCUUUGCGAUUGUAGUAAUUAACAAAAUCAUGGAUCACACAUCAUGUACAUAAGAAUAUAUUACAAUGAAGAUUAGCGUCUAAUAAGUUUGCAUUAUUCAAGUGAAUUAACACCCAUACUUAACACUAUAUUUAGUUUGAUUGUACAUUACCGUAUUUUUAGUAAUGAGAGUACAUUUUGGUCCCUAAAGCUAGCUCUUUCUCGAAAUUGCGGUACCACGAUUACUGGAACAUAAGCUUAGAAUCAAAAUAUUAUUUGAUAUUUAUCAGUAUUUUAGUAACAUUUAGCAACUAAUGAAUUAAAGCCUUUUAGAGUGCAGUAAAAAGAGAAAAAAAAAAAAAAGAGGUCCCGUUUAGUUUCAUUAUCGUUUCAUAAAUAAAAAUUCUACAUGUUUGCAUGCACGGCUUGUGAUCUUUCCUCUUGUCACUGCUAAAUAUCUUAUAAUGUAAUUUCAUUGGAAUGAUAUUACUUGCAUAUUCAAAGUUCCAAAGAAUGGAAAAAGAAGUCUCCGUUGUAUAUUUUAUCAUUGGUUGCAAACAAAUCUGCUAAUUAAAUACAUUGACUAUAUAAGCACUCCACACACCCUCACACUCAAUUUUUCAAUUUAUGGAAUACCUACCGUUUAGCCGUGGGAGGUGGAAUCGUAUUAAUUCAAAGGCUAAAAUGUUCAUUACAUGUGCUAGCUUGCUACUACCGAUAGUAAAUGACUAGUGUUAGUUAUAAAGUUCUUCAGUUCCGUAAAAUCGUUAUAUUCAAAUUUUUUACCAUCCGACAUAUUUAAUAAGUUAAAUCUUCAUCCCUUAUCUUUUACGCCCAGCUUAUUAUUUUAUGUCAAAUUCUCUUUUAAUAAGACGAGACGUGAAAUUAAAUACUAUUCAUACACUCUUUUUAUGAUGUAUGAAAAAUUGUAUCCAUUAGAUGGUGAGAUACAUGAUAUACGCAUUUUUUGUGAUGUAUAUAUAUAAAUAGUAUUGCUAGUACGAAAAAACCCUAGAUGCAUUUUUCUAGUACAUCUAGUUGGAACUGUUCAUUUUUAUUUUCUUUACUAACGUCCAAUCCAUGCAUCUGGUGAAUUAAUGUUUCAAAUCUCUUCCCCUUCUUCAAAAAUAAAUUUAUGCACCUACAAUUAGUUCCCCAUUUUGUAACUGUUCAUACGAAUUGAGAACCUUUGCUUUUAAUAACAUAUGAAAUAGUUGUUGGCCUUUAAAACUGAGUUGUUUUUUCUUCCCUUGCUUUUGAGGCCCAGGUGCCUUAGUUUGUAUUUCAGUUCAUUUUUUAAAUGACUAAAGCAUUAGCAUGAUAGUUUUAUCUCAAAAAAGAAAAAAAAAAAAAAAGAGUAGUGAGAUGAGGAUGAUUUAAUAUUUUGUAUUCAAUAGUUUUUAACAUCAGAAUUGGAGUUGUUCCAACAUUGGUUUUUUCUCGUUAUCAUCCUUUAUCUUGCUCUCAUAGAAAAAACUAUAAUUAUGGAUCUGUGGUGCCGUGUAAAUUUGUAACACCAUUGGCAUCUAAUCGUGUUAAAAUCUAUAUUUUUUAUGGUGAGAUUAAUUAUGUGGAUUUUCUUUAAUGUUUUGUUAUUACUAAGCAUUAUUUUUUUUUCCUUGUUUACUUUCGCUUUUUUCAUGUAAAUAAAUCUCAAACAGACAUGCAGUUUCUCAAAAAGUGUGGCUCUCAAGACUGUAUAAGGGGGGUGUUUGGCCUAACUUCUUAGAAGUGAUUCUGAGUCCAAAAUCAUAUUUGACUUCAGUAGAGCAUUUGGAAACGACAGAUGGAAAAUCUUUCUGUGGAUCCAGAAUAAGAAGCAGAAAAAAGCUGCUUCUCCAAAACUGAUUCUGAUUUUGGAUUCAAACCUCAAAUUUUUAUUUAUAUUUUAGAUUCAAAGUAUAAAUUUAACAUUAAAAUUUAAAAUUUAAGUUUUUAAAUUUAAGUUUCAAAUCUAGAUUUUAAAAUUUAAAAUUUAACAUUAAAAUUUAAAAUUUAAGUUUUUAAAUUUAAGUUUCAAUUUAAAAUUUAGAUUUUAAAUUUUAAAUUUAAGUUUCAAAUCUCAAAUUUUAAACUUUAAAAUUCAAAAUUUUAAAUUUUAAAUUUAAGAUAAAAUUUAAAUUUUGACAUUUCAGAUUUUAAAACAUAAAUUUGAAAAUUUGAAAAUUUAAAAUUUAAAAUUACAAGUCCUAAUUUUCAAAUUACAAAAUUCAAAUUAUAAUUUAUAAAUUUCAAAAUUCAAAAUUUUAAAUUUUAAAAUUUCAAAUUUAAAAUUUUAUUUUAUUCUUAAAUUUAAAAAUUCAAAUUUUAAAUUUUAAAUUUAAAAUUUAAAAUUUUAAAUUUUAAAUUUUAAAUUUCAUAUUUNGGCAAAAAAAAAUUUACUGUUUGCAUAUGAUAAUUUUUUUUAACUAAAUUUUAUUUUAAAUAAUUUAAAUUUGAAUUUACAUUUAAAUUUUAAAUUUUAAAUUUUAAAUUUUAAAUUUUAAAUCUUAAAUUUUACAUUUUAAAUUUUAAAUUUAGAUUUCAAAUUUGAAAUUCAAAAUUUAAAUUCAGAUUGGAAAAUUGAAAUUUAAAUUUGGAUUUAAAAAUUCAAAUUUUAAAUUUUAAAAUUUGAAAUUUAAAAUUUAAAAUUUAUUUUUUGUACAAAUUUGAAAUUUAAAAAUUAUACUUUUAAUUCAAAUUUAAAAUUUUAAUUUAAAUUCAAUUUUUAAAUUAUUUUAAAAUAAAAUUUAGUAAAAAUAUUAAUAUAUGCAAGCAUCAAAAAUUUUUUGCCAAAUAGUUUUAGAAAAUCACUUUAGAAAAAUAACUUUUGCUAAACUCAGCCAAAUGCUCUACAGUAUUUCACCAAAAUCAAUUUUUCAAACCAAAAUCACUUCUGCAAAAAUCACUUUUCCAGAAUCUAGGCCAAAUAGGUCAUAAGUGGUUAGAUAAACAUAAUUAGGAAUGUGAAUAGGUCGGACUCGGGGCAGAUUUUCAAAAGUUGAAUUCGAACCAACUACAAACCCGAAAUCCAAACCCGAACCCGAACCAGAUUAACUUUAACAAUUCAUAUCCAAAUCUGAUCCCGAUAAAAAAUCUGAAACCGAAACCUGAACCUGGAAACCCGAACCCAAAAUAAUUAUUUUUCUCUACCAUAUCGAAUCCUCAAUAACUUAUACACUUUGCGCUAUCUGCUUCAAUGGUAGGUAUGAGGUCCAUCUCAAGUGCUUCAGUAGCAGGUGUGGGCUCCAGCUUCCCUCUUCUAAGUUGACUAAAAAUAGAAAAAUGACUCAAUUUUUCGGUCUCCUCCUGUUUUCUCAUUGUUUCGUCUCUCCUCCUCUAUUAAUAUUUUUUUAUUUUCUUUUCUUUCCUUUUUUUUUUCCUCCUCAAUUAAUACUUUUGGUUUCCAUUUCUUUCCUCGCUAUUUCGUCUUCUCUCUGCUGCAUUGUUCCAACCAUCUUUUACAUUCUAUUAUCCUCUUCUCCCCCAGUCCCCCUCCCUUCCCCUGUGUCUCUCUUCCACUGGAAGCGGCGUCCAUGACAAGGACGGUGACGUGACCGAUAUUGUCGCCAACCGCUCCACCACCCCAUCUCUCCAUCUCUUACCUCCCCCUCCUCCCCCCCCUGCCCAAGAUUUUGAUCAGUCUACAUGCCUGACGUGCAAGCCCCGCAGCAGUGCUACCGCCUCCGUCGUUGUCCUCAUGUUUCGAGAGGCAGCCAUCAUUGUCGAGGUCAUUUGGAAGAAGGUAAAUCAGCACAUCACCAAAAUCAACAACAUCUCAGUGAUUUAAAUUGAAAUUUGAGGAUAGUUUAAAAAUUCUAAAAAACUUUUCAUAUUUCCAACACUCGAGAAUAAGGGAUACCUACACCCUCCUUGUUAACAGGAUUCUCUCUUUUAGAGGGUGUUAGGAUUUGAUUAGAUUUGUAGCUGAAUGCUAGUUAGAUUAGAAUUAAUAUUUAAAUCUGUUAGAGAUAAAGUAUUAAGAUUUAAAUAUUAAUUAGAGUAAAAUUCUAAUUGGACUAUAAUUUGGAUAGCUUUUAAUGUAAGUUAUAAAUAUCGUAUAGGUGCCAGUAUUUUGCUGGUGGUUGUGCGGCUUAGCCACACCCAUAUGGCAUGGCUAAAGUGGUUAAAAUUUUGGAUGCACCUAGUGUAAGAGGAUGUGUGCGAUUUUUGUGGCCGUGGGUUAUUAGAAUACACGGGUGCACAGGAUGAUAGAGAAGUCUUCUGAGUUUAUAGAAGAUGAGAGAAAGGAGAGAAAGAUUCAGAAAGAGGAUUCGAGUUGAAACUACCCUAUUGUAGAAGAAUCAAUUUAGUAAAUCCUAUUUUACCCGUAUAUUUUUAUGUUUGGUUUUUCUCUCUUUUGUGAUUGUGACAGCUGUUUGCUGAGAAUAUGGUUUUAUGGUAAAAAUCUGAUUUGACGCUUCUGUUGUGGAAUUCCAACAACUGGUACCGAAUCAAUAAUAACCGGUAUCAGAGCGGAUUGCAAAUUCUUAAAAUCUGGUAUUAGGGCGAGUACCAGAUUUUCAACAAUUGAUAUCAAAGCCUAAGGUUAUCGAUCUUGAGAGAUAUCGACGUCAAAGCAUUGGAUUACCAAUCCUUAAUAGAAGAUUGAUGUCAGAGUACAGUGUUAUCGAUCAUUCCAAGCGAUCGAUGUCUAAAGCGAAAUUUGAUCUCGCUAGGCAUGUAGGACUCGAAGGGUUGCAAAUUUUCAGCUUCAGGUGGAGCAUGAAGGUCUGAAAGCGAGAUCGGGUUGUGUGCGAGACGAACAACCAUGGGAACUUGUAUGCUCUAAACGGGAGUACAGUCAGAACGGAAGCAAAAGUAGUUUCGGUUCAAAAGUUCACGAAAGUGCAAUCGGUCGAGAUGGAGCAGUAGAUGUAGUGACAUCGAGCAAAGGAGGCAAGCACAAAGUGGAGCUUGCAUGGUGAGUUUGACGCAGCAGCUAAAAACUACAAAUCAAAUCAAGGUAGAGAUUAUUGAGAUUUGAUUAGAUUUGGAGUUGAAUCCUAAUUGGAUUAGAAUUAAUAUUUAAAUCUGUUAGAAAUAAAGUAUUAAGAUUUACAUAUUUAGAGUAGAAAUCUAAUUGGACUAAAAUUUGGGUAGCUUUUAAUGUAAGCUAUAAAUAUCGUAUAGAUGCUAUUAUUUUUAUGGUGAUUGUACGGCUUAGCCAUACCCAAAUGGCAUGGCCAAGGUGGUCAUAAUUUUGAAUGCACCUAGUGCAUUGGUGCAAGAGGACGUGUGCGAUUUUCAUGGCCGUGGAUAAUUGAUAUACCUUAUGCACGGGUGCAUAAGAUGAGAAAGAGGUCUUCUAAGUUUAUAGAAGACGAAAGAACGGUGAAAAAGAUUCAGAAAGAGGGUUCGAGUUGAGACUACUCUAAUAUAAAAGAGGAUUCAGAUGCAAUAUUCUCUUAUUCAGUAAAUCUUAUUUUAUCCGCAUAUUUUUCUGUUUGGUUUUUCUCUCUUUCAUGAUUGUGCCAACUGUUUGCUGAGAAGAUGGAUUUAUAAUAAAAAUCUAAUUUGGCGCUUCCAUUGCAAGUACUAGAUUCCCAACAGAGUGAAUUCUAUUCCUUUUGAAACAAAAAAAUUUCGACUAGAUAUCUUAUGCUCUAAUCUGUAUAAAUUUUUUAAUAAUCAAAUACAAAUCGCGCGAACCGAAUGCGUUCUAACUGAUGUGUACAUAUCAAUUCUUUUGAAAAAUAGGAAAAAUAAGUUACAAAGCCCGCGAAACAUCGCUCAUCAAACAUUCAACUUGUAGCAUUAAGGCCACCAAAAGCCCAACUAAGACAAACAAAGCCCAUGAUUCAUGUUGGAGCAUAGGCUGGAAAAAUAUUGAAUAUGGAAUGAGGACUGUACUCUUAUGAGUAUAGAGCCCUUCAUACUCAUAAGUUGUUUUCAAUGAUUGAGCUUCCGAAUCGAUGAUCCAUUCUGUUAAAUAUGAUCUAGAGUAUUUGAAACUUCUAGAAAAUAAAUUUCGUAAUUUUUCGAAAUCAUAAUAAAGUUCAUCGAGCGGGUAUAAAAUGAAUGGUUAAAAUCGAACGAUGUUUUAAAAAUGGAUUAUCGGAUCCUUCAAUUUAAGAUCGACAUUAUUGAUCUUUAUCUAUGUAGUGAAUAGAAUUUUCUAUCAAAAAUUCAACCGAUUUCGAUUCUUUUAUACCAUUAAACUAGCAAAUAUUCCAUACCGGCCGUUAAAAAUUGUCAAUUUUGUGACCUUUUGAUCGUAAGGUAAAGAAUGUCAAAAUAUUAUAAAAUUUGAUUUCUAAAUAUUUAAAUACUCUAAAUAUCGUUUAACGGUGUGGAUUGUCGAUUCGAAAACUCUAUCAUCAAAAACAACUUAUGAGUACGAAGACGAUCGUACUUAUAAGAGUAUAGCCAGACUCAUGAAAUGAGUACCAUUCCCUCUUACUGGGCUACAAAACUGCCUCAACAAAACUCUGUCGAUGAUAAAACAACUAUAUUAGGCAGCUGUUGUUCACUUACUUUCUCUGUUCGUGCAAGAAAGAGAAUUGUCGGCAGUCUAAAGUCUAUUAGGAAAAUCCAACCUCUGCCAGCAUUUUCAUUCCGGAAAAAUUAGCUUUUGAUGCCUGUUUACUGAUUAUCAGAUUCAGCUAAAAAGUAACUUCUCCAGAAAUCACUAAUAGCAGGAAUGAAAAGGAAUUCCUUCUCAAAUAACAACAGGAACAUACUGAAAAUAAGCAUCCAACUGAGAAAUCAGAGACUCCGAGUCCACUGUAAAUUUUAAAGAUACACACACAGAGGCCAAACUUCUAUUCAUUUGACAAACGAAACCAUGAGGACAUCAUUCACCACAACAUUUUACACAAGGGUUAUAGCAUAAGUAUUAUGCUCUAUGAAACAUGGAAUUAACCCUAAACCAAUGAACUGUCUUAGCUUUGUCUCAUCACUGGCAGCAAGCCUGCUUCUCGAUUUUCGAAUCCUUUUAGAUUUUCGAGAGCCCUUCUUCAAAAAGCCGCAGCUAUAGCUCGCUUUCUCUGCUUAUUAGGCACUCUUGCUUAUUUGGCACUUCAUUGACGCCAAACUUUCGUUUCGGAUGCCAAUUUUCAGGUACAUGAAUCCGGAGCUUCCUCUAAUGUUUCUCCUUCAUUACACCGCAUCCUUGUAUUCUGCUAGAAAAAUAAACAAGGAAAAGAAAAAGAAAAGAAAAGCCGCAAGAAGGAGAAGAUAAAGAUAACACUACUCUGAUAAACAGGAAGUUUCAGCUUGUUAGAAGCAUCUAGUAGUGUCCAAUGGCAGAUAGUACAAAAGAAUCUGAGUUUAUUAUAGAAGCGACAAAUAUUUGAUGAGAUAGUGAAAAGGAAUUGAUAACCAUCACUAAUUAUCUAUCACUACAUAAAACAGUAAUGAGACUGUCCCAUUGAUACAAAACUUAGGAACUUGACUCACUUCACCUGCUAUGUCUCCUUUUCUUGAUUGCUUCCUCUUCUUCCCUGAUGUAUAGAACGUAUUUUUGCUGACGAUACAAAGGACAGCAGCAUAUCAAUAUGUACAUGAUCAAAAAAAAAAUUACGAAGGACAGCAGCAUAUCAAUAUGUACAUGAUAAAAAAAAAAAAAUUAGCUACACCUGAUACCUAAAACAAUCCCUUCUGAUUAAGUCAAACCAGAAAAACCAAUGUUAAUGUUGCACCUUUUUGUUGGCUGCUGUUCCUGCAGAAUGAAGAAAAUCCAGAGUGUUGUGUCUCUGCAAACAAUAUAUUUUUGGAUAGUAGAAGAACUUUAUCCCACAUUCAUAAGCACGACUUAAAUGUGCGCUCGAGCAUAAUUUGUUUAUGCAUGUCACAUGCUGGUGGGACUGAAAUUCGUCCAUUUCAUUUCAAAGAGAUUCACACAUUUAUAUACUUUUGUAUAUAUGGCUCUCUUUUUCAAAGAGAUAAACUGUGUGAGACUAAAAUACACUAUGCAGAUGAGGGUUUGAAAGUACGUGCACCCAACAACAAAACUUAAAUUGACAUUCUAAACACUCUACCAAACACAAUAAGUGCUGUUUUUUUAUCUUGAAGCGUUCUAGACCUUAUAGUUUUUCAUUAUUACAAGUACGAUAGUAAUGACAACUAACCUAUAAGUUAUUCGCUCUUUUAGUCUGACAAUCGGUAAAAAUGAAUUCAAAUAACCUUAGGGACCUAGAACUUGUUACUUCCUAUCAAUUUCUUGUACGUAAACCACAAACGAAUUAAGAGAGAUUAAAAGUAGUGAAUUCCACUUGUAUCUACCACUGUUAAACAUUUGCCACUACUAGAGCUUAUACCUCGGUGAAAGUUCAAAGGGUUCUGAAAGAACAUCCAAAAGCUGCAUAUAGGUUUAGUAGAAUAUGAACUAAGAAUAACGUUUCUGUUUGUCUGUAUGUAAUUAGAAUUCCCUUCUUUAGAUACCUCAAAAACAUGUUCAGAAAUAAAAACUAAUAGAAAUUUUCUUAUUGGCCAAGUACAUUAUAGAUAUUAACACGUAAGAAGAAAAUUUGUACAAAAAUCAGAGCGAAUUUUCAGACAACAUGGACAAAGACAGUGCUCCAAAGAGUAAAUAAUGCAUUACCUUCUAGAGCUAACAGGAUCCUGAGAAUUUCUUACUAUUUAAUACACUAAAGAGCAGAAAAAUAUAAGGUGAACUUGGCCGAAAAUGUUAGCUCUUGGUGUUAAGAACGGCCUAAAUUAUCUUGAACAAAUCCAACUAAAUUUCGAAUAGGGAGGAUAAAGAGAUUAGAAUGGAGAGCAAAGCGGAUAACUGGUUAUUGGAUGGUCAAAUAACUAAUAUAGUAGUGCCACGGAUGUCUCACAUGUAUUGCAAAAUACAGUUCACAAGUUAGCUUUGUAUAUGCACAACUAGUUUUUUGUAUAUCUUGAGUAACAGAACUGUAUAGUAAGAAUAUCAACUUGAUUAACUAAUACACUAUUCUUCUUCGCAAUAAGACCAUUUCCAGUUUGUUGUCCAUGAAAUGUUUUGGAUCCAAGUGAUGUAAGAUUUUAAAUACUAUAUCAGUGAACCUCAUCAAAUGCCCUAGGUAAAACACAAUUGGGACUGAACAAUCUCUCAGAGAUUGUUAUAUAAAGAAAUCUUGAUUACGAGUGAAAACAAUUUGUAUGCAUAAUAAUAAUUUUCAUUCCUAAGGAAAGCCAGGAAAGAAUUUGCAUCUAUCUGGAUUUUGGACCAGGACCUUAAUUGGGUAAUGCCAACAUUGAUGAGAGAGAAAGGAAUUUAAGCAAAAUUCAGAUCCAAGUAUUGUAUAUAUACGCGCUUCCUAAAGAAUAACAAUUUAACAAAAUUACUGAAAAGCUCUAAUUGCUCAUAGUUUGUCCUGAUCUAUAAUAUAUCAAUGCUGCAUAUUCCCUAAACAUGUCUAUUUAAAAGUUUAUGAAUGGAAACUACUAAAACUCUAACAUGCCAUUACAUGUGUGUCAGACAAAUACUUAUACAACCCUUAGGGGACCAUAUAUGCAUGAAACUUUGUAGUUGUAAUAUGUCAUUAUCAGAGCCAUAACUAAUCCAUUUUCAUCUCUAAUUAGACCAUAGGAUCAAUAGCUAGUCCAUAGUGCCACACCUAUGGUAAUUCAUAGUAGAGUUGGACAAAUUGAUAUAUCCAAAAGUAUUAUCAGAGAUAAGAAUUUCAUAAAAGAAGCUAUUUUGGAAGCUUGGAUGUAACAUAAGCUUCUGUAUGAAGAAAUAAUGAUUGCAUGCUCCAAAAAAAGGCAACAUUAUAUGUACAAAUGCUAAAACCAUUUUCAUCGAAUACAAUAUAAAUGAGUUACUAGAAUUUCAAAUGAUAGUAUAAAUCUAGAUUUUUCAACCCUUGGGCUCAAAGCAAAUAGAAUAAAUAAGGCAAGCCAGAGUUGGAGGGGGAUAUAACACAAUACGGAUAUUGAUGAAGACUAUAAAGUUCAUUGACAGCAAAUACCAGUACUUAAAUGCAUUUGAUAACUCAUGGCUUAACAUACUAGCGCCUGUGGUGCUUCAGUGAGAUUAAUCUGUUGGACAUUAUUUUGUACAGAAAUCUCAAGUCAAAAGUAUGAAAAAUUAUCCUGGCUUUGUUUCAAUUCGGAAAAUGUAAGUUCAGUCGACGACAAAAGCUCAAAAAAUAAGCUUUCACAGAGAAUGGUUAUCCUUGUUGUCGUCCAAGUCAGUCGAGUGUCCGCCGCAAGCCUUCUUGGCAGCUUCUGCAAGAGAUAAUUGGAGCUCAUCAUGCAUGUCUGACUUCUUAAAAUCCAACGAAGAAGCAAUCACAGAUGAGCCGACCUGUUGACUUUUCCUUCCUUCCAGUAAUUGCUUCACAUUCUGGUUUGAACAAAAAAAAGAAGAUAGAAGAAACUAAAUCAACUCUCAAGCUACAAAGAAUAAAAGACCAUAUUAAGAAACCGAUGAAUAUUUUCAAUUCACCUAAGCAUUAUUUUUCAAUCCAUAACUCCCGGAUGCUCAUGCCCGAAUCAAGUGUGCAAAAGAUUAUCCAUUUAGUAGUAGUUUUCUACCCAGAGGUUCAGUCAACUAAAUAUAAACUGUGACAGAAACAACUAGUAAUAGCACAAUCUCCAAUUUCGAUCGGAAAUUACUCACGGUCGCAUAACAAAUUACUUGCAAGUAUAUAGAAAACACAAAAUUUAUUGGUUAUGAAGUAUUUAAAGAUGACUUUUGGUCUUCUACAUUAACACCUACCACCGCAAAUCUAAUUAAGAAAAAUUAGAUGCGAAAUGCGAACAAAAUUUAUAAUCAAUGUCUCAAUUCUACUAUGGGAGAAAUACAAAACGAUAAAAAAAAUCAUGCACUGUGCUUCAGGGAUUAGGCUCGACCUGCAGCAGUGCCGGGUCGAACUUGGGGAUUCCGAUCUGGCCGACGGUGAGCGCGCCGCAGAAAUUGCCGAGGAGCGCGGCGUCGGGCACGGGCAGGCCCCACAUCAGCCCGGCGGCGAGCCCUCCCAAGAAGCUGUCGCCGGCGCCCGUGGGAUCGACCUGGACGGCGGGGAACGGCGGCACGCGCAGCUCCCCUUCCCUCGUGUAGAUCCGGCACCCGUUCUCGCCCUCGGUGACGACGACGCAGCAGCGCCGCCGCGCCUCCUCGACGCCGACGAAGGGGGCUUCCUCGGAGGACGCUUUGAGGAGGGCGAUCCGGGGGAGGAGGCGGAAGAAGGGGGUGGCGCGGAGCGGGACGAGGCCGACGGCGCCGUCGGCGGGGUCGAAGGAGCGGAUGAGGCCCUGGACGUCGACGAAGGUGACGUCGCAGGCGCCGACGAUGCACUCGAGAGUCUCCGGCAGGAUCUCGCCGGCGACGCCGACGGCGAGGCCGAGGGAGAAGCGGGCGUCCGGGAGGUCGGAAGGGAAGAUCGGAUCGCAGGCACGGACUCGGCGGAGGAGGCGGCGAUCGUGGUGGCGGGAGUGGAAGUGGGCGUGGAAGAGGGUGGUGGGGGAGGGGGAGGAGAGGAGGCGGGAGCGGGGGACGGAGUGGGCGAAGUCUGGGCCGACCUUGGCGACGUAGCGGGCGGGGGAAGGGGAGAGGAGGGCGUCGAGCACGUUGGACACGAAGGCGGCGGCGCCGCCCAGGGUCUCGCCGACGGCCGCGCCGUCGCGGAAGAGGACGUCGUGGCAGUAGUUGCCGACCACCACGCACCACCCCCGCGCGUCGCCAUCGUCGUCGUCGACUUGCACCAUCGUCGUCGUAAAAAAGGAGACUGUGGUAGUGGUAUUGGUGGUGGUGGUGAUGGUGAUGGUGAUGGUGAUGGUGAAAGGAAAGAGAAGAGGGGAGGGAGAGGGAGAGGGAGAGGGAGAGGGAGGGGGAGGACGGAAGGGGGGGGGGUUCCUCUUCUGGCCAUUACUGGCGUGCGCGAGCGAUUAACUAGCGUGCGCGGCGGUGCGGGUUACGGACGCGUCGAGAAAAACUUUACAGAGGCCGCCGGCAACGUGGCUUUCAACGGCACCGCUUACGGCUCUGGCACGCGCCACUUGUAAACUUAGUGCUUCGAUUCUGGCCAAAAAUAAAAUUUAGGCUUUGUUUUAUUUCAUAUAUAUAUAUAAUAUAUAUAUAUAUAUAUAUAUAUAUAAUAUAUAUGUAGGUCCAGCUAUGGUGCUUUAAAAGCACCAAGCACUGUGCUUAUAAGUUUUGGAGUUAGAUCUACUCCUCGAUCAUUUUCAACAUUAGAUUAUACUAUUCGACUAACCACCCACUCAACCUGGAGGGCCCACAUCAUCCAUAACCGAUAUACUCUUAAUCCAAUGUCUAAAAAUUUACAAGCACCAAUAACUUUGUACUUUAAAAGUAUGGAGCUCAAUAUAUAAUAUAAUUAUAUAUAUAUAUAUAUGAGUCCGCUACUAUACUCUUAUGAGUUCGACCGUCUCUGGUACUCAAUAAAUUGUUUUCGAUGAUAGAGCCUUCCGAAUUGACGAUCCACACCGUAAACCAUUAUUUAUAGCAUUUAUAUCUAGAAAUCAAAUUUCAUAAUUUUUCGACAUCAUUUACCUUACGAUCAAAAGCUCACAAAAUUGACAAUUUUAACGCCGUAUGGGAUACUUGCUAGUUUAACGGUGGACAAAGAAUCGAAUAGGUUGAAUUUUUUGAUAGAAAAUUCUAUCACUACCUAGAUAAAUCAAUAACUCCGAUCUUAAAUUGAAGGAUCCGAUCAUCCAUUUUAGGACGUCGUUCGAUUUUGACCGUUAUUAUCCCGCUUGAGGGACUUAUUAGAUUUCGAAAAUACGAAAUUUAUUUUCUAGAAGUUUCAAACAUCCUAGAUCAUGUUUAACGGAGUGGAUCAUCGAUUCGGAAGCCCAUCAUCGAAAACAACUUAUGAUACUAGAACCCACUACUCAUAAGAAUAUAAUAGCCUUCUACUAUAUUAAUAAUAGAUAUUAAUAUAUAUAUAUAUAGUUGAGCUAGAAUACUAUCGAUAGCAAACGGGCUCCGUGGCCACCUAUUUGUUUUCGAUAUAGUAGCCACGGAAGGGGGGGGGGUUUCCUCUUCUUGCCAUACUGGCGUGCGCGAGCGAUUAACUAGCGUGCGCGGGUGCGGGUUACGGAACGCGUCUGAGAAACUUUACAGAGGCCGCCGGCAACGUGUGCUUUCAGACGGCACCGGCUUACGGCUCUGGCACGCGCCACUUAGUAACUUAGUUGCUCGGAUUCUGGCCAAAAAUUAAAAUUUAGGCUUUGUUUUAUUUCAUAUAUAUAUAUAAUAUAUAUAUAUAUAUAUAUAUAUAUAUAUAUAUGAGGUCCAGCUAUGGUGCUUUAAAAGCACCAAGCACUUGGUGCUUAUAAGUUUUUGGAGUUAGAUCUACUCCUCGGAUCAUUUUCAACAAUUAGAUUAUACUAUUCGACUAACCACCCACUCAACCCUGGAGGGCCCACAUCAUCCUAACCGAUAUACUCUUAAUCCAAUGGCUAAAAAUUUACAAGCACCAAUAACUUUGUACUUUUAAAAGUAUGGAGCUCAAUUAUAUAUAUAUAAUUAUAUAUAUAUAUAUGAGUCCGCUACUAUACUCUUAUGAGUUCGACCGUCUCUGUACUCAAUAAAUUGUUUUCGAUGAUAGAGCUUCCGAAUUGACGAUCCACACCGUUAAACAUUAUUUAUAGCAUUUAAAAUUCUAGAAAUCAAAUUUCAUAAUUUUUCGACAUCAUUUACCUUACGAUCAAAAGCUCACAAAAUUGACAAUUUUAACGGCCGUAUGGGAUACUUGCUAGUUUAACGGUGGAAAAGAAUCGAAUAGGUUGAAUUUUUGAUAGAAAAUUCUAUUCACUACCUAGAUAAGAUCAAUAACUCCGAUUUAAAUUGAAGGAUCCGAUCAUCCAUUUUAGGACGUCGUUCGAUUUUGACCGUUAUUAUGCCCGCUUGAGGGACUUAUUAUGAUUUCGAAAAAUACGAAAUUUAUUUUCUAGAAGUUUCAAACAUCCUAGAUCAUGUUUAACGGAGUGGAUCAUCGAUUCGGAAGCUCCAUCAUCGAAAACAACUUAUGAUACUAGAACCCACUACUCAUAAGAAUAUAAUAGCCUCUACUAUAUUAUAUAAUAUAUAUUAAUAUAUAUAUAUAUAGUUGAGCUAGAAUACUAUCGAUAGCAAACGGGCUCCGUUGCCACCUAUUUGUUUUCGAUGAUAGAGCCUCCAAAUCGACGAUCGGCACCGUUGAACAUGAUCUAUACCACUUGAAGUGUUAGAAAUCAAAUUUUAAAUCUUUUCGACAUCAUUUGGCCUAAUGAUCAAAGGAUUUCAAAAUUUGUAAUUUUAAUGGUCGAUAUGAGGCGUUUUCUCGUUUAACGCAUAAAGAUAUCCAAAUCAAUUGAAUUUUGUUAGAAAAUUCUUUAAACUAUUUAAAAUAGGAUCUAUAGUCUGAUCUGAUUACAAGACUCCUAUCACAUUUUAAAGAAUAUUUAUUCAGCCGUUCAUGUUUGUGUCCACUCGAUGGAUAAGAAACAAUAUCGAAAAUGUAUGAAAUUUUGAAUAGAUCAUGUUUAACGGUACCAAUCGUCGAUUUAGAUGCUCUACAUCGAAAACAAAGGUGGCAACGGAGCUCAUUUGCUAUCGAUAGUAUUCUAUCUCAACUCUCUCUCUCCUCCCAUCUCUCCUCUUUAUAUAUAUAUACAUAUAUAUAAUAAUAUAUAUAAUAUAUAAUAUAUAUUUUUAUUUAUAUAUAAUAUAUAUAUAUAUAUAAUACACACUCCUAAGGCCAAUUGUGUAAAAAAAAAAAAAAAAAAAAAAAAAAAAAAAACUAAACUUCAAAUACCACCAUGUAAUUGCAUACUUUUUUUACUUAAAUAAUUUAUCAUUAAAGUAUACUUAUUAAUUUAAUAUCCUGUGGUCUCAUUGUUUUUCUUUUCGCCGUCCUCUCCGUUAACUUUUCGUUAAAUCAUAUGCAAAAAUUUCAGGUAGCUCACCUAUAGUUUGUCGAAUAUUCACUUUAAUACUCUUUAGUUUUAACUUUGUCACUGAUUUAAUGAAAAAAAUCAAUAAAGGGGUAACAAAACGAGAAAAAUAAAACCACACUUUAAACCACAGUUACUAAAGUGAGAAAGUGCAAAACCACAAGAAUAGUAUUUGAAGUUUUUCUUUAAAAAAAUUCACUAAUUUUAUAUCUUUUAUAAAAAUAGAUUAUUUUUUAAUUUUAUAAAAAUACAUUGAAUAUUAUAAAAUUCUAUUUUGAAUAUUCAAACACAUGUCAUAAAGUAUACUGCUCAAAAAGUUCGGAGCGUGUGGAAUGUCUAGUGUCAGAAAAUUCGGCACGCAUGUACUGUACUUCUGAGCGCCCGAAUCUCUGAAGUGGGCGCUGGAAAGGUGGAUUUUCAACAACUGGCUCAAGCUAUAAUGGGGGCUUUGUUCACUCAUCCAUUGACAUUUAGAGCUUGUAAAAUUCAUAGUGUUCAUACUUUUAGCUCUCUACUCUCUCUCUCAAGUUUGAGUGAAAUUUUGUGAUGAGAUACAAUGUAAAAGAGAGUGAAGAAAAGUGUAGAAAGUGUAAUCUUGUUGAGAGAAGAAGCUUUUGGUGUAACGGUUUGAUGUUUGACCAAAAAACAUAUCGAACAGUAAAAAGCCAACAUUCUCUUGCGUUGAGAAGUUGGCGAGAAUGUAGGCAAAGAGUUGAACCUCGAAACAAAUCGGUCACGUACUUCGAGUUUGAUUUUCUCUGAUUUUUCUCUUUUCUUUUAUCGUGGUUUUAUCGAUUUGUCUUUUAUUAUAUUUUUAUUUUAGAAAACUAAUUCAUCUCCCUUCUUAGGGUGCCAUUUCAAUCCUCACAUGUUUCAAAACAGUAUAACUUAGUCUCAACAAUACAAUUUCUAUCUUAUAUGGUACAACUUAAUUUCAAAUAAUUUUAAAUAUAAACAUCGUCUCAAAUAAUAUUACUUUGUCUCAUAAAAUUCUUCUUCUUUUUUCUUCUCUUCUUCGCCUUUCUGUAAUGGCUACAGCACAUUAUGGCUUUAUCAGAAGUAGAAUUUUUUUUUCCCUUAUAAUAUUCUCCUCUUUCUUUUUUUUUUCAUCUUUCCCAUCUUUUUUUGGUACUGCAGAGGGUAUUUUCGCCUUCUGCAUCCUUUUUUGCCACCCCGCUUCGACGCGCUCUCAUUUCUCCUCCUCUUCAAAUCUUGCAGCACCCUCAUCACCAUCCACAGUCAUGCCCUCCGUCACAGCCUCACAUAGGCAAUCUUUGUCACAUCUGAGCCUACGUCGCUGCCGUUGGCAUUGACAGAGGUGUGGAAAAAAGAGGAGUGCAGCAUCAAGAAGAAAGAGAGGAAGAAAAGACAAAAAAAAUAGGAGAUGAAAAGAGAGGAGAAAACUAAACAAGAGAGAACCAAAAGAGAAAGAAAAAAUGAUAUUUUGAUCACUGAAAAAUUUUAAUUUAAUCUACAAAAUCCGAAAAAAAAAAUUUAUCUUUAUAAAAAUAUAAAAUUGGUGAACUUUUCAUGCAAAUUGGCCAAAUACUGAAUUGGGUUAUUUAGAGAGCCUACAACUUUCUUCUUAUUAUUAUUCAGAUAGCUAAGAAUGAACUUCGUUUCACCCCAAAUGUAAGAUUUUUAAAAAAAAUACAUUGUAUAUUAUAGAAUCCUAGUUUGAAUAUUCAAACAUUUCUUCUCUAAAAAAAAUGAUCAGCACAAAAACAAAAAAUUAUAUUUUCUUUCUUUAUAAUAUGGUUAUGUAUCGAAUUAUAGACUUAGCAUUUUUCUAAAUUAAAAUUUACUUUACCUCAGAAUAAAAAAAUACGUUUAGAACAACAAAAAUAAAAAUUGCAUGUUAAAAAAUGCAAAAUAAAUUUUCUUCUCCAUAAUAAAUUAUUAAAAAAAUAUUCGACCAAUUUGCAUAAAAAAUCUAUUAGUUUUAAGCUUUUGCAAAAGGAAGCCGUCUUUUUGAAUUUUGCAGAUUCGGACCGAAUUUUGAGAAAGAUGACCAAACUAUCCCUCUUUCAAAAUGCAUAAAAAUUAUAUACUUUAAAUGCCUAGAAAAACACAACUGCUAAGCCAUUAAGUGUAAAAUUUUUUGAAAAUGACAACUGCUAAACCAUAAUUAUAUGUAACUUUCUCGUGAAACGAGAAUUCUCAUUCAAGACAAAAUAAAAAAAAUAAAGUAUAAUUAAUAUGAUGAAAGAGUGCAACAUUCUCUCAAAUAGUGCAACAUGCUCUUCCAAAUAGUAUAAUAUCUGUAUAAAUAGAGCAAUAUAUGUAUUAGUAAUACACAUUUUGUAUUAUUUUUACACUAAAUUACGAAUAGUAUAGUACAUUACGCGAAAAUAAUAUAAUAUAUUACAACAUACUAUAAAAAUUAUACAAUAUAUGUAUAAACGGUGCAUAUUUUAUACUAUUUGUACAGAUAUUUACACCAUUUGUGUAAAUGUUGCACUAUUAUGAGAGAAUGUCGCACUAUUUAGAUAUGUGUUGAUCUCUUUCUUUUUGAAAAUUAAAUUUUAUUGCAUAUUAAAUAAAGUGUCAAAUUUUUUGAAAAUGACAAAUGCUAAACAUAAUUACAUGUACAUUUCUCUUGAAACGAGAAAUUUCAUUCAAGACAAAAUAAAAAUAAUAAAUAAUAAUUAAUAAAAUAAAAAAGUACAAUAAUUUCUCAAAUAGUGCAAUAUAUGUAUAAACGGUGCAUAUUUUAUACUAUUUGUACAGAUAUUUACACAAUUUAUGUAAACGUUGAACUAUUAUGAGAGAAUGUUGCACCAUUUAAAUGUGUGUUGCACUCUUUCUUUUUUAAAAUUAAAUUUUAUUGUAUAUUAAAAAAAGUGUCAAAUUUUUUGAAAAUGACAACUACAAGCCAUAAUUACAUGUACUUUUCUCGUGAAACGAGAAACCUCAUUCAAAACAAAAUAAAAAGAAUAAAAUAUAAUUAAUAAGAUAAAAGAGUGCAACAUACUCUCAAAUAGUUCAAUAUGCUCUUCUAAAUAGUGCAAUAUCUCAAAUUAUUAAUACACAUUUUGCAUGAUUUUUACAUUAAAUUACGUAUAGUUUAGUAUAUUACGCGGAAAAAAUAUAGUAUAUGCAACAAAUGCAUUACGAAUACAUAUAGGGCGUGUUUUUUUCGAAAUCGGAAUCGGAAUCGGAAUCAGAAUCGAAAUCGAAAUAAGCUGGAAUCGGAAUUGGAAUGACUCAUUACCUAAUUCUGUUUGAUUCAUCACCUGAAUCGGAAUCGGAAUAAAUCAUUCCCAUUGUCGGUGUUUGGUUCAAGUAGAUAUAAAAAACAUAAUCAAAUUAAUAUACUAACUUUAUCUUUAUAAUAUAUUAAUUUAAAUUCAAAUUAAAAAUUAAAUAUUAAAAAUUUAUAUCAAAAUUUUGAAAUAAUGUCAAAAUUUUAAAUUUUUUUUUUAAAAAAAAUUAAACUUUAAAGUUGAGUGGAUAAUUCAAAAUAUAAAACUAAAUUUUGAUUUAUUCAAAUUCAAAUUUAAAAUUACAAUUUAAAUUUUAAUUUGAAUCCAUAAAUUUAAUAUAAGUUUUAAAUAAAAUUUGAACAAAAUUUUAUAUAAAUUAAAAUUUAAUUUAAAUUGUAAUUCAUAAGUUAGAUUUGAAAUACUUGAUUAAAUUCUAAUUUUUUAAUUGAAGUUCAAAUUAAAAUUUAAAAUUAUAUAUUUAAUUUCUAAAUUUAAACUCAUAUUUUAAUUAAAAAGUUGAAAAAAUAAACUUAAUCCAAAUAAAUAUCCAUUCCUUCCGGAUUCAACUUCGAAUCCGGCAUCCUAGGCCGGAUUGAAAAAAGAGGUGAUUAGGGAAUUCCCAUUCCACUCGAGAAUCGGAAUCGGAAUGGAACUCCCGCGUACCAAACACCCACAAAUGGAUUCGCCAAUUCCGAUUCCGAUUACAGGGUGAAAAAGAAGCGAACCAAAUGCAUCCAUAAUAUAUUAUUAUUAUAUAUAAUAUAUGCAACAUAUGCAUUACGAAUAUAUAUAAUAUAUUAUUAUUAUAUAUAAUAUAUUAUAUUAUUUUCGCAUAAUAUAGUAAAUUGUACGUAAUUUAGUGUAAAAAUCAUGCAAAAUAUAUAUUAAUAAUGUAUAUGUUGCACUACUUAUACCGAUAUUGUACUAUUUGGAAGAGUAUUAUUGCAUUAUUUGAGAGGAUGUUGCAUUCUUUCAUCUUAUUAAUUAUUCUUUAUUCUUUUUAUUUUGUCUUAAAUGAGAUUUUUCGCUUCACAAGAAAGGUACAUAUAAUUAUCGCUUAGCAUUUGUCAUUUUCAAGAAAUUUAACACUUUAUUGAAUAUGCAAUAAAAUUUAAUUUUCAAAAAGAAAGAGUGCAACACACAUCUAAAUGAUGCAACAUCCUCUCAUAAUAAUGCAAUAUUUAUACAAAUGGUAUAAAUAUUUGUACAAUAGUGUAAAAUAUGCACCGUUUAUAUAUAUAUUGCAUAAUUUUUAUAAUAUAUUGUAAUAUAUUAUUUUAUUUUCGCGUAAUAUACUAAACUAUACAUAACUUAGUAUGAAAAUCAUACAAAAUAUGUAUUAACAAUACAUAUGUUGCACUAUUUAUACAUAUAUUGCACUAUUUGAAAGAGUAUGUUGCACUAUUUAAGAAAAUGUUGUACUCUUUUAUCUUAAUAAUUAUAUUUUAUUCUUUUAACUUUGUCUUAAAUGAAGAUUUUUGUUUCACAAGAAGGGUACAUAUAAUUAUGGCUUAACAGUUGUCAUUUUUAAAAAAUUUUAUACUUAAUGGCUUAAUAGUUGUAUUUUUUUAGGCAUUUAAAAUAUAUAAUUUUUAUGCAUUUUGAAAGAGGAUAGUUUGAUCAUCUUUCUGAAAAUUCAAUCCGAAUGUGUAAAAUUUAAAAAGACAACUUACUUUUAAAAAAAUUCAAAACUAAUAAAUUUUUUAUACAAAUUGGCCAAAAUAUUCUUAUAAUUUUCGUUUAAUCGACUGUGCCCUUAGAAUGGUAGGGUGAGCAAAUUUCAACCGAGAGUUUGAACACCCAAAAUCAUGAUUACAAUUGUACUUCUUCUGGGAAACUGUUUCGGCAUCAUUCUCUUUUCAAUCUCCAGUUAAGUAGGAGUAUAUAUUUUUCACAAAGAUUUUUGUAUUUUGACUUUUUUUAGAGGCUUAAUUACAUUAUAUUAAAUUAUAUUUUAGUGUUAUUUUUAUUUAUUAUAUUAAUAUUAUUUUUAGGGUUAAUUGCAUACAGGUCCCCGCAAAUAUAGUGAAUUAUAAAUAUAUUUAUGUAAAGUUCAACAUUCAUAAGUUAUUCAUGUAAAAGCCCUAAUAUUUUCAGAUAUAUCCCUCUGAUUUGUUACCGUUAGAGAACCGAUAGAAAACUGUUUAUAUUUCUAAUUUUGCCCUCAUAAAUAUGUCCCUCUAAAAGUUAUAACAGUAUAAUACAAGAGGAGUAAAAAUGUCAAAAAUUAAUUCAGAUAAAGUAUUUAACCUAUGGUUAACUAAACUUUUCUAAUGGCUUCUAACGGCAAGGACAUAUCUGAAAAUAUUAGAACUUUUGCACGGAUAAUUUAUGAAAGUUAAACUUUAUAUAGGGAUAUAUCUACAAUUUUCAAUUUCACAUCUAGGUGUACCAUUUAACAAUGUAUAUUUGUGAGAUCCCUGGUGUUUGACUGUAGAGGCUUGUCGACAGCUCUGGAGAGUGUCGGGACAAGUCUGAGUCGCGUUGGCGUCAAAUAGACGUAAAACGGGCUCCGUGCGACGCGAGGGCGGCUUACCGCGAAGAAUUCUGCAAACUGCAGCAUUCUCUGCUUGCUGUACCGGUACAAGCAGAGUGGCUGUACCGGUACAACCAUCGCGCAGAAGCUUAGCAGCUCUCGGGUUGGCUCUUGUACCGGUACAAGAGUCCGUGUACCGGUACAAGAUGGUAGGUAGAGGGCUAAAUGUGUAAUUUUAUCCCUCGUUUGUAUCACCCCUCACUCCCCUCUAUUUAGCUUCGUGUAGAGAGAGAGAGAGAGGUCUUCUAGCUGCACUCUCCAUCUCUCUCACUCUCCCACCCGAUUGGAAGCAAGGAAGGAGUUACUUGGAGUUUCGUCGCCGACGUCGCGCCGCGGGAUCGUUCGAGCACGUAUUUGACGCCGGGACUUUGCGAGGAGAUCGAGCGAGCGUCAGCCAUUGCGACUACAGCUGUUUGACGUCGCGCGCGAGUGUCGACGCUGUUGAGGUGGUGAUCGGGCUGUCUCUUCUUUAGAUUUUGGGGGGCCAAUAAAAUUUAAACUAUUUUUCUCACUCGGUUAGUACUGUUUUGCUGAAAUUCGGCCUGUCGACUGUGUCUAUUUCAGUCGUUCUCCGCGUAGGAACUCGGAUCGCGUCUGAGGCUUAGUUCGUGUAGAUUCGGGACUUCGAGACGAAUCCACGAAGCCUCACUUGCCAGAUUUGGUAAGUUACCCGGAUCGAUAUCCGUUCCUACUUCAACUGCUGUGAAUUUCUGACUGAAUCGAGGAUCCCUUAAUUGUUUAGCUGUCGUUAGCUCGUGCUCUACGCGGACUUUGGAGUCCCCACGUUGAUGCUAAAGCAAUAGGUUUCUCUCGUUGCGAGGCUUGUUCGGUGCCUGCGAUUUAGCUUUGAAAUGGGUUACACUCGCUUUACUCCUAAAAUCUUAUUGGUCGACAAUGUAUAAAUCUUGAUUUCGGUAAAUUGUGUUAGCUUCAAAUCGAUUAUGGACGAUAUGCUAGAAUUGUGAAAUCUGAAUUUUGGAGGCAUGUCUAUAAAUUAAGUAAUUUAUACAUGUGGACUGGAAUUUGAAUUAGGAGAAAACUGCGAUUUCGACCUGUCCCAGUAUUUAACUACCCUGAUUUAGCUCCACCGAAGAGCCGUAGAAAAUCUGUACUUGUCACAGUUUCUUCGAGACGAAGUCCCCCCCAUGUAGUUUAGAAGUAUUUACACCCUCGUGCUGGUUUCCUCGAGUGGAUUUUACAGGGUCUGUUCAGUUUGUUUCGGACUGUUGGGUGCUGUCAGAAGCUGACGGUGACUCGUAUCUGCGCUUUUUGCGCGUCAGAUUGUGCGAGGGCACGUUACCUGUUUGUUGUUAACCGAUUUGAGUCGAUUACUUGAUUUGGCUGAUUGAGCCCUGAUUGAGCUCGGACAGAGAUACGCGGGCAUACUCGGUUUGUGUAGCGCCCACGAUGCCACUCGAGUCAGGCUGUGUCUUUUGCGUUGGUGUCGCUCAUGGCCAGUUGCGACUUGCUCUCCACGAACCAGUUAGAGUGGAUAGAGCCCGGAUAAGUCGCAACGGGGCAAGGGACGGGUGUUAUCUUCACGCCCGGAGACGGGUAUGCUUACAGUCGCCGAUUUGAUUGGUCAUGAUUGACAUUUCCUAGCAGGUCGUUAGUAUAGAGCAUGAUAGUGAGGGAUGAUAGGUAGAGUGACUUCCUGCUUUUUUCUUCUAUGCUGGCUCCCUUCUGUAAUGGGUGACCGAUGUCGUUUUGGGCGGUACCCACUGAGGACUACUUGUUUUUACAGUAGUUCUCACGCCCAGUUGUUACUUAUGUUUUGCAGAGCCACAGGUGCCGGCUGCUGCAUCUUCCGCCGAUCAGGAUCGAGGCAAGGGCGUUGCGAGCUAGAGCCCUACCCGACAGUCAGAGCUAGAGGCUUUCCCCUACUGCAGGUAGUUGUUGUUUUGGAGUUUAUGUACAUAGUUGUUUAACUCGCCAGUGCGAGUAGUUUUGUAUUUUGGAUGCUAGCUAUAUAUAUGAAACUCAGUUAUUUAGUUGUUCUUGAGCAGCUCUAUGCUACUGUUUGUAGUAUCGUUUUUCUACAGGUACUUUGACGCUUCGUAUACAGGGAAAAUUCCUUUGUAUACGGCGGAUUUGUCGACGUGCCCGGGGAAUGUGAUAUCCGGGGCGUGACAAUAUUAUAACAAAAUUUCAGCCAAAUUUUUAUUGUUUACGUCUUCAAUUUACAGAUUUAUGUUUCAUAGCAGCUAUUAAAAUUAUUUAUUUCAAACUCUUUUAUGUUUCAUAGCAGCUAUUAAAAUUAUUUAUUUCAAACUCUUUUAUGUUUCAUAGCAGCUAUUAAAGUUAUUUAUUACAGAUUUAUGUUUCAUAGCAGCUAUUAGUGGGUUAUGUCCAAAUUACACAUUUUGAAUGAAUAUUUGAUUAUCUUUUCAACCAUGUUUAUGAGGUAGGUUAAAAUAUUUAUAAAUAAUAAGCUAAAUUAUAGAAAAAAUUUUUAUAAGUACCCACUUUUUCACUUUCUCUUCCUAACUUUUAAAAACCUAUAUUUUACACCCUCAACAUUUCAAGUUAUUGUAUUUAACCUCCCUCCGUCAUGAUUCUAUUACUUUUUCGUCCAUUUGUUAUAAUUUAUACCGAAAUUAUUUUUCAAAUGACAAAAAUAUAUUAAAAAAUUAUUUUUUCUUAUAGAAAAAGUAAAGGCAAUUUAGCCAUUUGCUCUCUCCAUUAAUGCCAUACCCUUUUGAAAAUAUUUCUAAAAUUUUAAGAAAGAAAAAUAUAAAUUUUUAAAAAUCAAGAAGGAAUUAAAAGUAAAAAAUAAAUAAAUAUUUAUUAAAGAACUUUAUGUAAUUUUAGUCUAAAUUAUAUUUUAUUGUUAUGCUAGUUUAUAAUUUUGCUCAGCAAAAAAUUUCAUUUCUGAAUUGGGAAAUGUUAUUUAUACCAUAGUUAGUUAAUUCGGAUUCGGCAAAAAUUCGAUACGGAUAUAAUUCGGAUAAAAUUCGUCUUUUAAUUUUUAAAUUCGUUAAAAAAUACGGCAAAAAAACGGAUUCGGUAAUUAUUCGGAUACGUGAUUUAUACGGAUAUUAUACGUUUACCAAUUAAAAAUUCGGAAUCAAAAAUUCGGCUAUAUAAUAAAUAUAUAAUAAUUAAUAUACUACAUAUAUUAUUUUUAUAUUUUUUUAUAUAAAUUAAAUAUAUUCAUGAUUAUAAUAAAUAUAUAUUAAUAAUAUAUAAGUUAUCUAUUUAAAAAUAUUAAUAAAUAAUUAUAAAUUUAUAAAUAAAAAAUUAUAUAAUAAUAUUUCUAUAUAAAAAUAAAAUACUAUAUGAAUAAAUAUUUAUAAAUAAAAUUUUUUAUAUAUAUAUAUAAUGAGCNAUAUAUUAAUAUUAUAUAAUGAUUAAUGAGAGGGAGGUCCACCAUGGACCUCCCUCUCAUGCGGUCCACGAGGCCACAAAGUGGCCUCGUGGACCGCGCAUAUACAAUCCCCAAAAACCCCGAUGGAUUUCACUGUUCCUCUUCUCUUUUUCCGCGGACGGCCUCGGCGAGACCGCAUCUGCCGCCGCGGCUCUACUCUCGGCGCCGGUCAGGGCGGCGGAGGAGGACGACCUGGACAAGUUCGGCGACGAGAGCGGCGACGACACGACCCUCGGCCUCGAAUCCGCGACCACGAGCGCGGCGGCGACCAUGAGCGCAGUGACGACGCGACCCUCGGCCGCAAAUCCGCGACCGCGACGCCGUUUUUUUGGUCAAAUUAUUCGCGAAUCGCGAAUAAUUCGCGAAUAAUUUUUUUUGAGGAAGAAAUCGCGUUUUUUAUCGAACUUUUCGAAAAAAUACGGGACGCACCCGUUUAAUUCGUAUUUUCAAAAAUUCGCGUAUAAUUCGCGUUUUAAUCGCGAAUUAACUAACUAUGAUUUAUACACCUAAUAGCUCAUACGCCCUUUCAUUUAAGAGAAAGUCUACUAUAUUAUACUUACAUCACAUAAUCAAUAAUCACCCAAUCAUAUUUCUCAUUUUGAAAAAAAAAUUAUAAUAAAUAUAUAUUUUUUUAAUAGCCAUGAUUGGAUGGUUGAAACUGUUGAUGCCAAAAUUGAAAUUAACAUACCGACCUAACCCACGUAUGAGUCAAUAAGGACACGUGGUACACCAGAAGUCGGCAAUAAGGCGCCUGAAGGUUUUAGGCGGGAAUGGUUGAGAAGUGGGGCAUAAUUUCCACGAUGGGGCAUAACUUCCAUGAGGAGUGGGCGUAACUUCCACGAUCAUGAUUACAACCACUCCCCCUACUACUUUCAACAAACUAAUAAUGUGGGUUGAUAUUACUAUAAAUAGUAAUUUCGAAGCCUGCAAUAGGGGUCUUUCUCCCCCCUGAACAAGAAGAUCAUCCUAUUUUUCUUGCAAUUUUAUCGCUUUUCUAAGAGCAGUCUAAAUGUAAUCUUUUCUUUUUCACAUUUACUGCUUUCCUAGGAGUAGUUUUUAAGUAUAACCCUGGAGUCUGUCUACCCCACGGGCGUCACUCCGUUGUAAACUACAUAUACGUCCUUGUACUUCCCAUCAGUCAUUCAAUAGAAAAUCAUUUCGGCCCUUCAAGCCGACCAGAGCUCGUGUUGUUUUAGCCAUUCGGCUCUUCUUCCGGCUUCGUUUUCGGCCCGCUCUGUACAUUCAGCUCAUUCCAGCCGAAUCGAACAGAUAGUAGUGGUUUUCGAACCCGGCUGGCUCGAUCCCUCGUCAGUUGAAUCACUUGAUCUGUCGAAGGGUGCAAACUUCGAGGGUCACUAUCCGCAGCCGUUCCUCACCCCGACGCGCUUCCCCAGGAAGAUCUUUGACCGGGUCAAAGGUCGGAAAAUUCAGCUACCAACAAUUUUGGCACGCCCGGUGGGACUCGAUUUUAGGUAAAUCCAUAUUUUUAUUGAAAUUAUGGCUGAUGAAAAUGCUAUGAAUUUGCGCAAUAGGGUUGGUCCUAAAAAUUCUGGGAGUGAUCAACCUAGUGAUUCAGACAAUGGUGGCGAAUGUCAAGCAGCUUUGCCAGUUGAAGGAGAAACUAGUGGACAAUCGGCUUAUCAAGAGUCGAGUCUAACUCAGGUACUCGGCUAGAUGAGCCGAGUCCUGCAAACUUUAGAUCAAAAUAUCCAUCAAAUUACCGCUCGACUAGACGCGGUGCUGGCCUCCAUCACGGCCUAUAAUAAAAAUAUUGUUCGAAUCAGACAAUUAUUUUUCCGAAACGAGCAACCUUAUGGAGGGCAACAAGGGCCCCUAAAUGUGCCGGUGCAACAAAAUCCCGUCACGCCGGCGGUCUCACACGUGCAACCGCAAAUGUCACCUUUUCAGAUUGCUUAAAGGCCGGCGAAUAUCAACACUGGCCCGCAGUCGGAGAUUGCAUCCGGUUUACCUCCUUUACCAGCUUAUCAGUCCCAAAAUACGGGGAUUAAAGCUUGGGGGGCAGGCCCCUAAUGCUAUGUAAGGAGCGAACCCUGCAAUACAGAAUUAUGGAGUUCCUCAAGGGCCGAAUCCCGCUCAAGCACAAGCUCAGCUUCCCAUACAAGGGAAUAACAAUAAGCUGUAUGAUCAGAUUGAGGAAGUCAUCCGGAAUACCUUCGGAGUAGGGGCCAGGCCGGCUAUGCGGCCUGUUUUUCGAUCCCCGUAUCCUGCAAACAUAGAUGUAGAGCAUCCUUAUCUGGCGAAUUGGAAAAAUGCCAAAGUUUGACAAGUUUUCCGGAGAUAAGACCGAAAACAUGGUCGAACAUAUUGCACGAUUCACGGCACAGUGCCGAGAAGCCGCCGCAGACCUAUUUUUGAAACUUAGGUUAUUCAACACUUCGUUAAUCAAGACAGCUUUUAUUUGGUACACGAGUCUACCUGCUAAUUCCGUCCAAGAUUGGGACGAAUUAGAAGAAAAUUUUCAUGAGCAGUUUUACAGAUCAGAACCAGAAUUGUCGUUAGCUGAUCUAGCCCAAUUUAAACAAAGAGCAGGCGAAUCAGUUGAAGAAUAUUUAAACCGAUUCAAGACGGCCAGAAGUCGAUGCUUUGUCAGAAUGUCGGAAUCAGAGUUCGCCAAAAUGGCGUUAAAUGGUCUGCAUUUUAAGAUAAAAUACCAUUUUAAGAUAAGUAUUUUUCUAACCUAUUUGACCUAGGUGUUCGGGUUGCCCAAUAUGAACAAUUUCGGAAGAAAAGUGAGGACGAUCGGCUGCAAUGGAGCCGAUACAAAAAUCAAAGCAAAGGCAAGGAAAAAUCUUUGAUAGAAGAACAGUCGGUUCAAGAAGAGCAAAGCCAAUCGAGUGAAAGUGAAGAAUCGGCUAAUGAAGCCGAGGUAUAUGCGGCUGGUAAAGAGCAACUUUCUUCAAAGCGAAAUUCUUGAUAGAAGAACAUUCGGUUCAAGAAGAGCCGAACCAAUUGAAUAAAAGUAAAGAAUCGACUGAUGAAGCCGAGAUAUAAUCACUUUCUUCAAGAAGAAAUUCUUGAUAGAAAAACAUUCAGUUCAGAAAAAGCCGAACCAAUCGAAUAAAAGUAAAGAAUCGGCUGAUGAAGCUGAGAUAUAUGUGGCUGGGAUGAUAAAGCGUCGUUUUCUUAAAGCCGACCAAGACCAGCGAAACUAAAGCUUGGGUCUCGGCUGUGUCAUUUUGAGCAGUCGAUUUUGCACCAAUAGUCAUCCGAAUGUUUAUUCGAAAGACUAUUGGGGGGGCAUUGUUAAUGCCAAAAUUAAAAUUAACAUGCCGACCUAACCCAUAUAUGAGCUAAUAAGGACACAUGGUACACCAGGAGUCGGCAAUAAGGCGCUUGAAGGUUUUAGGCGAAAACGGUUGAGAAGUGGGGCAUAACUUCCACGAUGGGGUGUAACUUUCAUGAGGAGUGGGCGUAACUUCCACGAUCAUGGUUACAACCACUCCCCCCACUACUUUCAACGAACCAAUAAUGUGGAUUGAUAUUACUAUAAAUAGUAAUUUCGAAGCCUGCAAUAGGGGUCUUUCUCCCCUCUGAACAAGAAGACCACCCUAUUUUCCUUAUAAUUUUAUCGCUUUUCUAGGAGUAGUCUAAAUGUAAUCUUUUUUUUUUCGCAUUUACUGCUUUCCUAGGAGUAGUUUUUAAGUAGAACCCUGGAGUCUGUCUGCCCCACGGGCAUCACUCCGUUGUAAACUACAUAUCCAUCAUUGUACUUCUCAUCAGUCAAUCAAUAGAAAGUCAUUUCGGCUCUUCAAGCCGACCAGAGCUCGUAUUGUUUUAGCCAUUCGGCUCUUCUUCCGGCUUCGUUUCCGGCCUGCUCUGUACAUUCGGCUCAUUCCGGCCGAACCGAACAGAUAGCAGUGGUUUUCGAACCCGGCUGGCUCGAUCCCUUGUCAGCCGAAUCGCUUGAUCUGUCGAAGGGCGCAAACUUCGAGGGUCACUAUCCGCAGCCGUUCCUCACCCCGACGCGCUUUCCGAGAAAGAUCUUUGACCGGGUCAAGGAUCAAAAAAUUCGGCUACCAACAGAAACCAAGAGAACAUAUCUCAUUAGGUAGAAAUAUCCCCUCAGCAAUAUAACUGGUACAUUUUAUUUAAACAUUUUCUCUAUUUAAGGACGUAGACAACUCCUUUGAAAUUUUAAUAUUAAAAAAAUAAAAAAAUUGAUAAGGCUUAUAAAAGAAGAAGAUAAGUCUAUGAAUUGAAAAGACAUAAAAUUGAUAAUUUUUUCAUCUAUUAUCAAAUGCACAAAUAGCGUUACUUUUUCUAAGUUGGAAUACAAACGAGACAAAUGAAUUUAAUGACAGGACAGGACAGAACCCCAACCUUUCGUCGGAUAAAAAUUUUGUAGGCACUGCCCCCAAACUAAUAGUUUGAGGACAGUGCGGAUGGGCACCACGGGGCCCAUCCGAUGGCCACCCUUCUUCCUCUUCCUCUACUUUCUCUCUCUCUCUCUAAAAAUACAAGGCAACUCUUUUUUUCUCUUUCAUGGGCAGUCGUUGGAUGGGCCAUAUGGCGUCCAUCCACACAGUCCCCAAACUAAUAAUUUGGGGACAGUGUCCAUAAAAUUUUUGUCCCCUUUCGUCCCGUCUUUGUCUUUCUGAUAAAUUCAAAUUUAUUUUUUUUUUUUCCUUCACUUAUCAUUCCAUUUAAAACAGGGGGGGAGGAAAGAAAAUUUUUGACGAAUUUUUAGUAAAAAUUAAAAAAUAAAAAUAAGAGAAGGAAAGAAAUUCUUACUUUCAGCCUAAGCAGAUGGACAGAUAUAUUUUUAUUAUUAUUAUUGGUAAGCCCUACUUAUCGUCCUAUUUGAGAUGGAUUGGUGGAAAGAUCCCUUAAUCCGAAUCUAUUUGCAUACCUACAUAGCCAAAUAUUUUUAUACAAAUUGCCAUUUAUUAUUUUUUUUUAAAUAUAUAUGCGCUGUUUGGUCGCGUGCAUCUAAAAUAUUCAUUAUGAAAUGAAAAAUAAAAAAUAAAAAAAUUGUAUUUACAUAUGUUCCAAGUUUCUCGGAAACAUCUGAAUAACAAUUAUACUCGAAUUUUUCUUCUUGAAAAAUCCUUACUACCGCUACAGGAAGCAAAAUUAUAGACCUAAAAAUCAAGCGAAAAAAAAAAAAAAAACAUCAACUUAUAACACUUCGUAUCUGUAACAUAUAUACAAUUGUUGCGCUCUUCCCUCUGAAUAGUAAAAACAAUAUAUAUAUGUAUUGGGAUCCUUAAUUUUCACAAGAUGAUGAUUUAACCUACUCCUCGCUAUCAUUUUAAGAUCAACGUAUUGCAUGUACUUGAGAAAUAGCUCAUUAAACCUCUACAACUGUAUCAUUACUGAGCCCUAUUCCCUUCUCCGCAGCACAACAUCAACAACAACCAAAAGAGAGAGAGAGAAAAACAUACAGAAAAUAUUAAUUGAACUAUAAAUAAUUUUUGAGUUAGCUAUCCAAUCUUUCAAAAUUUAAUUCUAGCUAUGCAAUUUUCCAAUUCAUUCGAUUUGAAUCAAUUUUCGAUACUCCAACUUCGAUUAUCCUUAUAAAUAUUAUAUUUCAAACUAUAAAUUUAAUUAAAGUAGUUAGCUUAAAAACUUUCAAAAACUGCGAUCGAAAUUUCAGAAAGAUGGGAUGGAUAGCGGACUCAAAAUACUGUUUAUAGUUCAAUAACUUCUGUACAAUUAAUUAUAACAAAAAGGAGGAAAGAAAAAAUAUAUAUAGAUUACUUUUGGUCAGCGUCCCAGCUGCAACUCUCGUCGUCUUCGGGAGGAAUCUUGUUGAGGUCGAGCCUUUGCUGCCCGCCCUCGUUCCUUCCCUGGGCUGAAGCGGCAGCCGCAGCCGCACGGCGGCAGCCCGCAGGGCGUCGACCCUGGCGCCGACCUCAGCGGCCUCCUUCGGAUGACGUCCGCGGCGGAGUGUGGUGGUGGUGGGGGUGGUGGGUGGUAUUGAGAAGAGCGGAGGGGGUGGGGUGGGGGUGGUGGGGAGAGGAGGGGGUCGUCGCUCGUCGACGGUGGGCGGCGUCGGGAAGUUGAGCUUGGCGGAACGGCCGCGGAGGAAGAGGACGGCGGUGUCGUACGCGGGCGGCGGCUCGGCUGGGGCUAGGAAAGCGAGCAGAUCCGGCUGCGCUUGUUCGGCUCCCGGAUCUCCGCCACCCACUUCCCCCACUUUCGCAUCCGUAUCCCCCUGUACGUCCUCUCCGAUCGCUUCAUCCUCAUCCACCUACUCCUCCUCCGAAUCCAAAAAAAAAAAACAAAAUUUGUUUUUUUUUUUUUUUGGGAUAUUUUGGGGAUGAAGGAGAGAAUAAUUGUAUUAUUCUUAUAUAUAUAUAUAUAUAUAAUUGGGUAAUUUUAUUUUUCUAAUAUGAGGGUCUGAAUAUUAUUUUAUAUAUAUAUAGAGAGAGAGAGGAGAAGGUGAGUGGGAGGAAAAAGGAAGUCGGUCAGCAGUAGCUGCUGCUGUUGUGCUGCUUCCGAGCUUAUCCGAAUUAUUAUGCUGAAUGAAUUUGGAGGCGUUAAUUGUUGCUUGAGCUCCGUCCACCGUAUCAGCUGUGAACCGUCGUUUCAUGAUAGUAAUUAUUAUAAGUACAGACCAUUAUUAAUUAUCAUGGUGUCUUUCCUUCGGUUUUGUUUACUUUUAAUUUUUGAAGUCUUCAACAUAUAUAAAGGCACGAAAUUUAAUUUGACAUAAAAUAAAUUGAAUGAGAAACAGACUUAAAAUGAGUAAACAUCGAUUAUUAUUUUUGUAAAAAAGCAACUCGAUUAAAAUAAGAACUAGGCUAGAAUAUUACUAAUAAUACCGAGUCAUUUGUACUAUUAAGUUUUCAAUCUUUAGAUGAAGAGACGUACGGUCAGAAUGAUAGCGGUCAUCUAGGAUUGAAUGAGUGAUUGGUUGAAAAAUAUGAUCUAGCGAAUAGAAAUAAUUUAAAAAGCAGAUAUAACGGUAGAAAUUUUGAUAGCACUGAGUAUUUGGUACUAUUAAUAGCAUUGUGUAUAGAAAUAUACAGUAUCUUCUCCAUAGCAACAAGAAAAAAAUAAUAAUAAUAAUAAUAAUGAGAGAUGUUUUUGGGUGGUUCAUAGAUGACAUGGUGGAUCAUUUCCAAGCAAAAGGCGAGCACAGAAAGGGAGAACUAGGGCUCCUCCAGCACGGCCGACAAAGCAAACCCAAGGAAACGAACGAUACACGCACCGAGAUUAUUGACCCAAAUCAUGCGGGCCCCACUUUUGGUACUUGGGGGUGCAUUUAUGGGUUUACUUUGUGAUACGGGUUCGGGAGGAAAGGAAUUAUUAUUAUAAUUUUUUUAUUUUUUUAUUGAUUUUACUUUUGUCGCGACGUGGAGAGGGCAGGGGGAGGAGGAGGACACGUGGCGUACGCGACGCGGACGUUUUGGGGGGGAGGCUGAGUCGCGAUCUUGUUGGUCGCGUAACGAAAUAGGGCGCGCGCCCCGAGGGCGGCGGGGGGGGCGGCGGACGGUCGGAUGGGCGGGGGCCCCCGCGGGGUUCGGUGAGGGCGAGAUCGGACGGCUGCGAGCGACCGGAGGGGUCGGUAAUGAUGAGUAUCAUAAUAAUUGAAAUUUUGUUUUUUUGUGGACAUUGUACGCCACGUCAUCACUCCACCCUCCCUUUCUUUUCUUUUCUUUUCUUUUUUACGUUUCUUUGUGCGGUUAUUAAAAAAGAAAAAAAAAAAAAAACUAAACUUCAAAUACCACCCCGUAAUAUCUCGUAUUUUAAAAUUUUAGUAUUCUAUAAUUUAAAGUGUAUUAUUUUGGUAUCUUAUGAUUUACUUUUUUUUCUCUUCUUUAGCAUCUUAAUUAACUCUUCCUUAAAUUAUAUAUAAAAAUACUUCAGAUACCGCACCUAUAAUUUAUUAAAUAUUCACUUUAGUAUCAUGUGAUUAUCAAAAUUUUAUUUUAGUACUCGGUAGUUUAAACUUUAUCACUAAUUUACUGAAAAAUUAACUGGGCAAAUAAUGGAAAGAAAAAAAAUAAAAUCUCAGAAUACUAAAAUGAUACAUUUUAAAUCAUAGGAUAUAAAAGUGAAAAAAUACGAAACUAUAUGGAUAAUAUUUGAAUUUUUUUUUGUCUUAAGAAAACCUUUACAGAAUGCAAAAAAAUUGUCCUCUCAUUUUUUCCUCAAAAUUAGGUGUUUGGUUAAUAAAAAAAACAAAUAUUUUUUCAUGGAUAACAUUUUUUCAUAAUUAUUAUGUUUUAUAAUAAUAAAUUUAGAAAACAUAAAAUCUGCAAAAAAAAAAUAAUAGAAAAUACUAUUUUUGUAUAAAACCAAAUAGAAAACGAAAGUUGGAAAAUUAUUUUUUACGAAAUUUUUCGGAAAAACAAACAAAUGAAAACGAAAAUUUGACGACGCGGCGAAACACAGCCCACAAGUCUAUACCGACGUGGCUCAUAUUAUAUUAUUAUUAUUAUAACAGAGAGCUACAAAUUUGCUUAAUCAUUAGGGGGCAAAUUGAAAUUUACCUUUUUUUUAUUUUAUUUAAACUAUGAGCACCGGCUCACACAACCUUUGGAUUGAAUCACUCUCGUCCAUUGAAUUUUAGUUUUUUUCGUAGUUAGAUAAAUUAGAAUUAUUUAUACGAAAUUUUCUAAAAUUUCAAAUAAUAUGAAAAAAAAUAUUUUUAAUAUUUAUCACAUUUUUAAGAAUAUUAUGUUAAACUUGACGGUAGGUAUCUGAGAUUCUAAAUUUGAAUCCUAACUACUUUAUAUUUUUAGAUAAAUUUAUUUAUUAAAAUUUGAACUUGCUUUUUUUUUCUCUUUAAAAAAAAAAGAAUGUCACAUUGAGAGUUUUAACUUUCAUAGUCUUUUGCAAUUUUAUUCAUCUAAUCAUCGUAUUCACAUCCCUAAUUACCAUUGAACUUUUCUUUACCACCAUACUCUAUAUAAUUAUAAUCUUUAUGGACAAUCAAAUUAAAAGAAUAAAAUUCAAUCAUUUUAAAUUCUACAAAAAAAAAAAAUGUCACCUUAUACAGAAGCAACAAGUUAAGUAUCCCUUUGAAUUUUCUACAGUUUGUUUCAAAUUAAUUUUUCUAUAAUUAACUCUACAUUUAUUUCUACAAAUUGACUAUUCCACCAAUAAAUUCUUCUAUUAUGUUUAAUAUUAUAUUUAAUAUUAAUUAUCAGUUCUAAUAUUUUUAUUUUAGCUUUUUCUGCGUGAACUAUAAACUUAUUAACUAACUUAGAAUAGUUUCAAUUUAUACAUAUAUAAAUUCAUACAUUUUAAAGCUUCAGAAAAAUAUAUUUGAUAAUUAAUAAGUAUAAAUUAUCACGAGGGUAUUGGGUAAAAGAUUUCACACUUUAUUAUUCUUCAGGAUAAAUAUUUAUAUACAUAUUAGAGAACAUUCUAGAGACUAUUUUACAAGAAAAUAAUAAAAUAUAUGGUAAAUAAUUAUCAGCUGGAAAUGUUUCCUUCUAUAUGAUGAUUCAAUCAAUUCCUUAUAAAUGGGGCUGAUUUGAAAAACUUCUUUCUAUAGCAUUGGUGUCUUUAUUUUCUGAUUUUGAGGAUGAUUGAAAUUUGUUUUCUUCUAUAACUUUGUUUCCUUCUAUACGCCCCCGCAAGAUGGCGGAUCCGUCAGAUACGCCCAUCUUGGACCGUAGAAGCUGAAACCGAUUGGCAGAGAGUGGCUUGGUGAGUGCAUCGGCUAGUUGAUCAAAC
rnacentral:lncRNA from 1 species